rnacentral:lncRNA from 1 species
UACGAUUUUGACGACCCACCAAACCUUUCAAGAAAGGAUACAAAUGAGCAAUCACCCAGAUGGCAAAGAAAAGCUUGCCAAAAAGAGGACCCCAGGAUUGGUAACCACUGUUUAUAGCAUACGACACGCCGGCCACAAUGCCCACCAGGUUGAUAAUGAGUACUGUGGUUGGAGGAAUGAGAAGUGAUGUCCAUUUGAAAACAUAAAGUUCGGCAAAAUCGCCAUCAUCAUCAGACGCCUUUGAAGUGACAGUGAAGUUGGUAUCUAUUCCAGCAAGCACUUUCAGAAGACCCUGGAAAACAGCAAAGAGAUGAGCUGAUGUCCCACCAAUGACCCAGAAUUGUUCAUUUCUCCACCAGUCUUCGAUACUGACACCACUCCACCUAAGCUCAAGUAUUCCAGUGGCAAAAAUGGAGACGAAAAGGAGAAUGAACCACAUGCUAGCAAAGUUGCUUAUCUGCAAAAAGAUUGGAGGAAGAACAUACAUCAGUGUCAGAGGAAAUAGUUUUUAGAGGGCUACAGGGGUAGAAAUCAGUUUCAAAGGAAAAAGGGAAGCUCUAGUAAUCACUUACCUCAGGAAUGAUAAAUUUUCCUGUCAGAAGGCAAAAGGCAGGAAGCAUACAAUAAGCAAGCAAAGGAAUAGAGGUGAGGGGGUAAACAAUGGUGUUAAUGUAUGCCAGUCUCUCCAGAAGCCUCAAUCUUCCUUUGUAACCAUACCAUAUGGGGCAAUGUCUACUCAGCAAAAUCUCAAUAGAACCCAAGGCCCAUCGAAGCACUUGGUUCAGACGAUCAGAAAGAUUGAUAGGAGCAGAUCCCUUAAAUGCUGGACGAGGAGGCAUGCAAUAGAUUGAUAUCCACCCACGAGCAUGCAUCUUAAAACCAGUCAAAAUAUCUUCUGUAACAGAACCAUAAAUCCAUCCAAUCUAGUGACAAGAGGGAAAAAAAAUAAAAAGGGUUAACACAUAUAAAAAGGGAAACCAGGUAAGGGCACUACUAAAGGCCAUGAUACUUCACAACUGACCUCCUUGCCCCAUUCAGUCUUGUCCUCGUAUCCACAACUAAUAACAUGGAUUGCUUCUUUUAAAAGUGUUGCAGGAUUGGUUGAUGGUGGAAUGCCUCCUUGUUCCAUGAAGGUAGCAGCAAUAAAUACCGGGGACUGACCAAAUCGCUUCUCUAGUCUCUUCUGAGACAUGAGAAGAGAUCUUUCUUCCUCAUAUCCUGCAGAAAAUAAUAAAUGAAAUUGAGACCAGUCAGACCAUGGGCAAUACUUUUAUACAAACUGCAUGAUCUUGAAUAAUGUUGAUUCUGGAAAAAUAUGAUAUAAUAAAAAUUUUAAGACAGCCACGCUGAAAAGGGAAGAACCCACACUGUAUCAUAUGCAAUAUAGAAUGAUAGGAUCUAGUACUAUAUUAGAGAUAAAAAUCAGAAAGUAAUAGAGUAGUUUCGACCAAAAGCCCACCUUCUACACCCUCCUCAAUGUCUUCCAUAUUGAAAAUAGGGAUGGUCGAUUCAGUUCUCUUAGCUGCCCUCUUCUUGUCAAUGUAUUUUUUAUUCCCACUCUUUCCCUUCUUUCUUGAACCACAACAACUCUUAACAAUAAUAUUUGGUUCCAAAUCUGCUUCUGUCAGAACCGGAUCAUACCCAUAUAGAGCUUGCCUGUUGAAACAGCAACCAGUUCCCACAUAGACAGGACCUUGGAUGCCAUCUAACCCUUUCAAGUUAAUCUGCAAAAUACAAGCACAAAAUGAACUACCAUCCCCCGUUAACUAGUAAUUUGAAACAAGUUCUAUAAUGAAGCCAAAUUAACGGGUCAUACAUCAAAGAACACAAUAUUCCUAUUGGCAUAUCGAUCGUGCAAGUCAAUGCCAUCAAAACGUUGAGGGAACUGCACAUAGCACGUCUUCCUUCCAUAGGCAGGAUCCAUCAUGAAACACAUUGCUUCUUUAAGAGCUUUACUGUUAUUGAAGUAGUGAUCACAAUCGACAUUCAACAAAUAUGCCCCAUUGGUAAGAACAGCUGAAACUCGAAUCUGAGGAUCAAAAGAUGCCCAGGUUAGAAAAUGAAACAGACAAUCGCCCUACCAAGUUGCAAGGGCAGAAGGUCUAAAACGAUUUUCCUGACAAAAAACUGGCCCAUAUGUCUACACGACACAUUCCUUAGUAAACAAUAUCCAGCAAAGGAACCAAGGAAGGAUUAUUGCAAAGGUAUGCAACUGACUAUAAAUAUUAUGCUCAAACAUUUCGGUUAGAUGCAGUCCCGGAAAAAGACCAGAGGACAUCUGUGACUGCUUAAGAGAUACAUAGUGAAAUUGAAAAAGGGCAGAGAAUUGCAUACCAAAGCAUUCAUGGCUCCAGCUUUCUUGUGGUGUUGGAAGCCAGGUCGCUUCUCACGAGAAACAUAGAUAAGGCGAGGUAGCUCAUUUCCAUCAGUAUCAAGCCCCCCACUAUGACCUAGAAACACCUGUUGUUCAACAAAAUUACAUUAGAAAAUAGAAAGAACCAUGAUAGUAAGUAAUCACAGAACCAACUUUACUGGAAUGCAACUCAGUUGAAGGAUAAUACCUGUAUCAUUCCUGGAUGAUCUCUUGGGUUAUUUCCAGGCCAUGGUGUUCCAUCCUGCAUUGUCCAACCUUCUUCAGGCAUUUUCUGAGCUUUGGCAACAAGGGCAUUGAUCCGCACCUUGAAUUCUUCAUAUUCUCUCUGUCAAAAGAAAAUUUCACCUUUCUCAAUGUUAGAAAAUGUGACAUCUUUUUCCCAUUUAAUAGGAAAUAGUGAGUGGAAGAAACAUUUUUUUAGAUUUUAUUUUCUCACGUUCUAAAAAUUUUCAUUGUACUUGGGUUGGAACCCACUUAGGCCUAUUGCGGAAUUCUUUCUUCAGUUUUUUAUUUACUUAUUUAUGCAGUGUCUAACUGCAAAAAAAUAUACGAAGGUAUGGACAGUUUCAAGCAAAGCUUACCAAGAAAUACCCACAAAAAGGACAGGAAAUCAUUUUAAGGUCUAUUGUAAAUUAAUAAAUAUCUUAAUAGGUCCAGGAAUCAAUGUUUAAGAAGGCACACAUAAGCAUAAUUAGGCAUCUUUACACCGACCUUCAUUGCACGACGCUCCUUGACAAAAGAAGGCUUUAUCUUGUCCUUUAGAUAAUCAAUCUUUUGAGCAAAAUAAAACUCAGGAGCUCUAGGCUCUAUACUGUGCUUCUUGCAGAAAGGCACCCACUUCCUUGCAAACUCUGCAGUUUCAGAGAGGGCUUCAAAAGUCAGCAUAGCUGAACCAUCAUCAGAAACAUAGCAAGCUACUUUGUCCACAGGGUAAUCCACUGCAAGGAUUGACAAGACAGUGUUCGCUGUGAUAAGCGGAGGCUCUUUGAGUGGAUCCACUGUACUGACAAAAACAUCUACAGGGGAUAGCUGUGAUGGUUCCCCAUCCCGGUCAUAUCUAGAAAACAGAGCCAACCAAUAUUAAUGUUAUGAUAACAGACAACAGCACAAAAAAUACACAUAGGCAGACAAGAGCAAAGGAUUUUUUCAGCCAAAUAUGAAACAAACCAUCAGCGAGGUAAUAGAACUGACCUCAAAGCUAGCCUGUCAAGGUAGGUCUCACGAUUAAUGGGAUACCAUUUUGGAAACUGAUCUAGAAGCCAAGAUAAAGCAAACCAAAUCUCACAGAUAACAGAAGUUAGCCACAAUGGAUAUGCAUCUUUCACUGGAUGUGUUGCACGAUAUUGCAAGAAAAAGCCCAAAAUGAUGAGACGGAGAAUGAUGACAACACGAUAAGGGGUCAGGUGAGACGAAGAAAUAGGCACCACACGACUCAAAGGUUGACGAGCAUCAUCAGCCCUGUGGAACAAGAACCAUCAAACUUCAAAAUCAAAUGCAUAGAUGACAUCAACUGAGUAAAAAAUCAUUCCAAUUAUGACUACAAAGUCAAAAGGAAUGGACACAACUUGCAUCUAGAGAUAGAAAUAUACAAAAAGUGACAAUACUCCAAAUUAAAAUUUGAUCAAAAAAUUAAGUAUGAAAAAACAAAAUUAAAGAUUGAAAAAAUAAACUUAAUGUAACUUAUAUGGUCAUUUAGAUAUAUAAAAACACUCAAUGGAACAUGGUAAACUAAUUUAAAUUCUAUUCCAGACAAGAUAAGCUCACAUUUGCAAUUCAUCCCCAUUCGAACCAGUUCCUUCUAUAUCUCCCUUCCCUUCAGGGUAUCUAUUGUUCAUAUGCAUCACAUUUUUCUCCUGUUUGAGUUUCCAACUUUCAACCCUUUCCUUCCAAUCAACAUUCCCAAGGCCAUAAGAAUUCAAGUCCUUUGUUGGAUCCACAAUUCUCACCGGGACUACAAGAACAGAUGACAUAUAAUUGAGAUAAUAAACACUUCAAAAAGGGGGAAAAGAAAAAUCUCGUAAACAAACCCAAUGACUUAAUUACCUGGUUGCCUUGGGUCAACAUAAGGAGAAGAACUAACAUUCUUUUCAGAAGGACCCAAAGGACCUGAUGUCGUUCGCACCGAUCGAUUGUCCGGUGUAGCAAUUUCUCCAGAAACCUGAAAAUGUUGGCCUAUCAGUUAGAAAAAUGACCAUUUAAGUAGCAGAAAUCAUAAAUCUCAUGGUAUUAAUCAGCAGAGAAUAUAUUAGCAAAGCUAGUCACUUCCCCAAAUACAAAAGGCUUUUCUUAUGAUUUAACCAAACCAUGUUGGGCUAUACAUGAGAAUUAAAAGGCUGAUGAUAGCAAGAUUGCAAUGCUACAAAACCAAGCAAGAAUGAAAUGAUUUUGCCAAUUAAAUCUAAGUAGGAGAAACCAUAAUGUAUGACUUGAGUUUUCCAACUUUGAAACGGAAACUCAGGAAUUGAACAGCACAGCUUGAUCACCAAGUAGAUAGAUGAAAGGGUACUAAAAGAUGAAACAGAUAAUCGCAUCUUUGCAAACUCCAUAACAUGAAUAGGUACAGAAGCACAUAAAACGCCUACCGUAUGGCCAUUGGUUAGAAGAGGGAUUGGUUGUUGAGAUUCAUGUCUCGAGGAUGAAGAAAGAUCCACAUCUUCACCCUGCCAUUGCCUCCUAGCCUUACUGAGUCCUUGAGCAUAAUCAAACUCAUUCUCCAAGUCAUCAACAUCUUCCUCAUCAUCAUCUCCCUCCACUCUAGGACUCCCUGAAAUAUUCAGAAAUUACUUACUUCACACAUGAUAUAAAAAUCUUAGAAGCCAAAUCAUAAAACGAAAUUCCUAAGAAAACAAAAAAACCUUUAUGCCUCUUGUAUCUAGUCUUGCACUGGGGACAACACUGAGUCCCAUCUUUCCGUUCAUACUCAUAACAAGGCCGGCAAACUGGGAAGGCACACUCAUUGCAAGCAACGAACACAUCACCGGCAGCACCAACUCCAACAUUAUCACCACAGAUCUGACAUGUCUGCCCAUUCAAAUUCUUUAGCGGUUUGGGCUGCAUUCAGAAAGGACAAUUAACGCAGUUAGAAAUCUUCUGAAAAUUUGCAGUUGAACCAAAUAAAACCAUAUGCUUAAAUAUAAAACCAAAUAGCCACAGCAAAUCAUCGAAUGAUCAGACUCUACAGAUGAGUGUCUAGAAUAAAAAUCAGAACCAAAUCUCAAGAUCUGAUUAUGUUCACUAACCAAUCAUUCAAUUCCUCAGUCAAUAAGCUUCAAAGUAAAGAAUUGAAUUUACUUUCACUCAAAUGACCGUUAGAUCUUAACAACUAUGAACUUUUUAAGUCCUUUUCUAUGAUAACAAAACUCAGAUCUUAACAUCACACUAUUAGAAUAAGUAAAAAAUGAUAAAAGAAAAAUCAAACUAGAAUAAUGAAAUAAGAAAUGAGACAAACCCCACUAUCAGAAUCAUGGCGAAUCCGAACCAACUGGUUAGUCCGGUGAGAACCGGCCACCAUUCCAGCACUUGCUUCCAUUAUAUUGUUAUUACAGAUCAAAAGGUAAGGGUAUUAAAUGAAAAAUAUAGAUAUUAAGAGAAGUGAGAAAAAGCUGUCGGCAAUUUCUCCCCUUCAACAAGCCGUCUCCAUCUUCCCCAUACUCAUUCCAGCUAUUGUGUGGGCUUAAUGGGUUGUCCCUUUUAUCACUUAUUUUUUUCUAAUUAUUUAGUAUUUUAUUAUUUUCUAUGAUGUAACAAAUUUUACCGGGUGAACCAGUUGCUAUCUCCCUCCCCCUACUACCUAACACUGCUCGGCUUUGCUGAUUUUGUCAUUACGGCUCGGCUGCCUCAGCUUUAUAGCCUCCUUUGACUUUUUAAUUAAAAACUUCUUUAUUACAUUUAAUUUCAAUGAUAAAUUAGGGUAAAUUAUACAUAAAAGCCCUAUUUUUUUUUAAAUUUAUCGAAAUAGGCCCGGUAUUUUAUUAUUUACCGGAAUGGGCCAUUUUCCCCGAAAUUACGUCCACGUCAGUGCGAUGUUAGGGGAUGUGUCAGCAAAUCGCGUUCACGUCAGCGCGAUUACUUAUGUGGCAACAAAUCGCGUCCACGUAAGCGCGAUUUGCUGACGUGGAAGUAAUAAUUCAUUAACAGUUUGUGUUUUUUAGCUUGGAAAACUUUGAAAGGUCAUAACUUUUGGCUCAGUUGUCUGAUUGAGACGAUUUUUUUUUUCGAAUAACUUUUCGAGAUCUACGCGCUGACAAACAACCGAAGGUGGUUUGCCGCAGUUUUCGUCGAAAAAGAUCCUUUUUUACCUCUAAAUUUUGAUUUUUUCGGUUUAAAAUUGAAUUUUGAAACAUUCAAAUCAUUAUUUUCCUUAUUUAUUUGAAGUAAACACCGGAUUUUUUUUACAGAAUUGUUGUAUUAUUUUUUCUGAUUUGACACGUGUAUGGAAUAGGUCCGAUAAAUCGUUAGAACGUAAAUAAUAUAAUUAAGAUAAUAACAGUAUUUUUAUAAUAUGUUAAUUAAUUAGUUUAACUUAGUUGGUUAAUAUGCUUGCUUUUUUCCCUUAGUACCUUGGUUCAAAUCUUCUUGUCAAUAAAUUUGAAUCUUUUUUGUACUUGUUGCAUUUUUUUUUUAAUCAAUUAACUCUUCAAUACUAUAUUAAUAUAUAUUAUUAGUACAAUAGUAUACACGGAUUGACAAUUUGAGCUACAAUAUUAUGAAUAUUAACUACAAUACAUAAUUUGAGCUACAUAUUACAGUAAUACAUUAAUAUGUAUUAUUAGGAGCAAAAUACUAAAAAAAGGGGCAAAUUACACAUAAAAGCCCUAUUUUUUUAAAAUUUACGCUGACGUGGACGCGAUUUGCUGACACGCCCCCUGACAUCGCGCUGACGUGGAUGCAAUUUCGGGGAAAAUGGCCCAUUCCGGUAAAUAAUAAAAUAUCGGGCCCAUUUCGGUAAAUUUUUAAAAAAUAGGCCUUUUUUGGUAUUUUGCCCCAUAAAUUACACCUAAGGUCAAUAAAUUAUUAAUAAAUUUAUGUUUUAAUCAUUUAACUUCAAAAAUUACAAAUGAUCCACUAAACUAUUUCAAAUUUUUCAUUUAAGUCACUAAACUGUUCAUAAGUUUUAAUUUAAGUCACUGAGCCACUAAGGGUUUUUUUUUUAAAUCUGGAUAGCAAGUUCCAAACGUGAAUCGACGAUUGGUAUGACGAAUUUAUACCCAUCACAAGUAGAAAAAUAUACCUUAGAUUUAAAUCGAUCUGACAGUUAAUGUUGAAAUCCGAAUAAGAAAGUUGUUUAGAUUUUGGUUCACAAAUAUAUGACAUUCAAAGAUAUUUCAUGAAUUUUUUUUAACUAUAGAAGAAAAAGGGAAUGAGAACUUUUAAUUGGUGCAGGCGGUGCAAACAGAAAAUGCCAUACAACACUAGGUUAUGACAACUCAAUGACUUAAAUGAAAACUUUCAAAUAGUUCAGUGACCAUUUUGUAACUUUUUAAAGUUAUGUGACCAAAACAUAAACUUAUUAAUAGUUUAAUGACUUUGGGUGUAGUUUACCUUAAUCUCAAAUAUGUACAAAAUAUGAUAUUCAUAGAUGUUUUUAACCAACUAGUGUUGGAUAACGAUAAGGCAUAUUGCAGUCUCGUGAAGAGAGCUUGGGUUCGAAUCUUGGAAACAACAUUGUUAAGAGGAGUAACUAUGAACUCCAAAAAAGAUUAAUCUUCAUAGACCAUAUAACAAACAUGAUAGCUUCAACUUGUAAAAAUUAAAACCUAAAUUAUAAACACUAAUUAUAAAAAAUCAAAAUUAAACCUGAACACUAAAUCGAAUAAAUUUAUGUUGUAAAAAGAGUAAACAUAAACAUGUAAAUCAUGUAAAAAAAUUGUAGUAAGUAAUUUGUAGAAAUUAAAACAUAAAUUAGAGAUCAAUUUGAUAUAACUGAAAAAUGCGUAGGACUUAAAAAUAAAAUUAAUCUAAAUAGAAUUAAAUUUUGAAUAAAUCAUAUAAUAAUUUUAAAAUUAGCCUUAAAAGUAAAAUUUAAAAAGCCUCUUAAAAAGUGCGUUCCUUGGUUACCAAAAAAAAGUGUAUUCCUACAAUAUAAUAUGUAUGAUUUCGUAGGUAACAAUUUUACAUGUUGUAAUUUCUUUUUUUUUUAAAUUUUAUUUUUCUGAAAAAGAAUUUAUUUUCUACAGUUAUUCUCGUAUUUUUAUUAGCAAAUCUAAUAGAUGAUUUAUUAUUAGUCGUGAACAAAUUAAAGAAUAGGAUUAUAGAUAUUCCAAACCCUCGUGUAAUUUACAAUUAUAUAGUUUAUCAUUUGUAAUUUAAAAAUUUAUAUUUAGUUAUCUUUUAUAUGCUUACAAACCAAAGAUAUAUGAGAUAAUUCAUCUAUAUUAAUUUACACUCAGAACUAGCCGUUUAGCUUAGCCACACGGCUCUUCACCCCUUUUUACUAUUUGCUUACCAACCCGGUAAUAUUGUUACACGUGUUCAGCUGACACUUAACCACUUUCCUUCACGGAAAUGGACAACUUACACAUUAUACAACGUUUUUCCUUGCUGGCAAUAGCCUGUUCUUAAAAGUACCGGUUAUUGCCGGUACUCCGCAUCUGCCACUCCUUUGCCUGUCGGUGGACUCAAUAGUCUAUACUCCUCCAAGUUCUUAAUUUUACAGGAUUUCAACUCAUUCCGAAUUUACAAAUAUACCCUCUACCUUAUGGUGCGAGAAGUGUUUUUUUUUUCUGUUAAACUCACAGUGGAAUUAUUUUCAACUUUUUUCUAAUUUAAUAAUUUUUUUUUAAAUUUCAUUGAUGAAAGUAUUUUGAUUAAUUGAAUCAAUUAAUAUUUUAUUUUAUUUUUUCAUAAACAAUUCUAACAAACCAUUAGAAUUUAAAAUAAUAUAAAGAAAAAUACAAGUCAAGACAGCCAAUGUUGGGGCUUUCACAAAAGCAAAUUAGUGAAAAUAGUAACUAGAAAUAUGCCAGUAAUAAAUAACUACGGUACUAUGUUUCAUCAUUUGGUUCUUGUGAUUUGAGAACUGAUGGUAUUUUUUCUUUCAAAACACCACACACAUAAAAGUAAAACACAAGUAUUUAACAACAAUCAUAACUGGUGCUCAUUGAAAAUUAUUACUAACAACAAAAUACAUCAAUGAAAGUAAGUUACAAAGAAUUUCCCAGUUUACUCUAAAAAAAAAAAUUCCCAGUCUAAAUACCAUCCUCAAGAAGUCAAAAUUGCAAGAAUCAUACCUCUUUCAAUGAACAGUAACCCCAAAAUCUGUUCAUGCACAACGUAUCUUCAAGGGUAUAAGGAAACAGGAAGCAUGAACCAAUGAAAAUCUAAAGAUCACCAAAAGCUUGAACUCGAAUGAUCCGAUUAUUAUAGGUAUUCUCCCAGUUCUAUAGUUAGAAAACCAACCAAUUAUAGAACACAGGCAUGGAAUGUUAAACAUACUGUUAAUUACAUUUAACAUGCCACAAUUGGAUGACAGCCCAAACUAUAUUAUUCAAUGAGCUGAAUGGUUAUUUCAUCACCAAUAGUCUCCACAAGAACAAAGACCAUCUUUAAAAUGAUGGAACCGAUUAGCAUCCCUAACCACGAUGACUCUCUCAGUGAUCUUGGAUAUAAAUUUAGUGGCAGUAUGACAAUCUACACAAACUCGUAGAUUCUUGAAAAUUCUAAUUUCAGUUCCAGGGUCUGUAGCAAUAAGACCAAAAGCAAUGGCUAAUUUCUCACUGUGAACAUUUAUCAUUAGUUCCUUCUCUUCCUCUUCUACAUCAUGCAAUGCGGUAUCAAUCUCAGUCUGAAACCCUGCCUCCUUCAUUUUCCUUAUUAAUUUUUCUAGCAUUGCAUAGAUUGCUGAUGCUUGAGGAUGGGACUGAUCACCAGAUGUAAAGACAUGUGGAGUUUCACUGAUCUCAAUUAAAGUGCAUCCAGGAGUCUUUGCCAACUUCCUUUUCUUAACAUUUUGCCGGACCGAAGCAGCCAGUCGAUAGUUCCUCUCAACUGAGUAUAAAUUUGACAGUAAAACAUAAUAUCCUACACUUUCAGGAUCCAAUUCAAAUAGCUUUUCAGAAGCCACACGAGCAAUCUUUUUAUCCUUGUGGAUCACACAAGCACCAAGCAAUGCACCCCAUUCAGGAGCCCCUGGCUCAACUGGCAUUUCCUUUAUAAACUUUAAGGCCUUUUCUAGUUGGCCGGCUCGGCCAAGGAUGUCAACCAUGCAGGCAUAAUGUUCAGGUAACGGCUUAUAGUGAUAAUCAAGGAUCAUAGACUGGAAUAUUUUUUCUCCUUCUUCCACCAAGCCAGCAUGACUGCAAGCAUAUAAGAGAGAAAGAAAUGUCACACCAUUUGGUGUAACCCCAGAAUGUGACAUCUCAGAGAAGAGCUUUAGUGCAUCCUGGCCCUGGCCAUGAAGACCAUAACCUGAAAUCAUUGCAUUCCAAGUCACCACAUUCUUCCCCACCAUCAAGUCAAACAAUUCUCGAGCCUCGCUAAUGCCACCACAUUUUGCAUACAUAUCAAUUAAAGCAGUUGAGACAUAUAUGUUAGACUCAAAAUUCUUGCUUUUAACUAGGCUAUGUACCCAUUUCCCCAGACUAAGAGUUCCAAGCUGAGCACAAGCUGAAAGAAUGCUUGUAACCGUGACAGGGUUGGGACUAACUUUGGAUCUCUGCAUUUCUUGAAAAAGAGAUAUUGCUGCUUCGGUCAAUCCAUUUUGGGUGUACCCUGAGAUCAUAGCAUUCCAAGAGGCUGGUGUUUUCUCAAAAGACUCGUCGAAAAGCAGCCGUGCAGAUUUAAUCUCAUUUAGUCUGCUAUAAACAGUAGUUAACGCUGUUGAAACAGAAGGUUGUGAGAGAAUACCAGAUUUCACACAGAAACCAUGAAUACAGUCAGUAAGACUUAAAUAACCAAAAGGAUGAAAGACAGGAAUCAACCCCACAAUUGAGCUUGAAUUGACCUUUUCCCCGGAACCAAGGAGUUGUUUAAAGAGCCUUACUGAACACUCACUCUCACCAUUGCUAGUAUACCCCGAAAUCAUUGCAUUAUAAGAAACCAAAUCUGGUCUGCGUAUCUCUCCAAACAAUAACUUAGCUGCCUCAAUGUCCCCACAUUUUGAAUACAAUGAAAUAAAUCCGGUAAGCACAUGAACAUACGAAUGAAACCCCAGUUUUAUAGCUAAACACUGAACCUCCAUUCCCAAAGUCAAUUCUUGCAGCUCAGCCAAAGCCGGUAAAAUAGCUGCCACAGUGGUUGAAUCCAAAGGAAUCCCACCAUCUUUAAGCAUACGCUCAAACACCCAAACCGCAUCAUCAAAACAACAAUUUCUAACCAACCCAGAAAUCAUAGAAUUCCACGACACUGUAUCUCUUACAGGCAUUUUAUCAAACACCUUUCGCGCCAAGUCAAUCCGCCAAUUCUUUAAGUAAAAAUCAACAACGGCAGUGCCCACAAACAAAUCCGAUCCAUACCCAUCAACAACCGCAUGUUGAUGUAACAAAAUCCCCACUUUCUCAUCCGAAAGGGUUGAAGCAGAUGCGAUAGCGAAAGCGUAAGUGAAGUUAUCAGGCUUGAGAUGAGUGCAUUUCCUCAAAUGGGUGUAGAGCGAAAUGGAAUGGGCGUUAGAGAAGCCUUUGAUGAGGACAUUGAAAAGGAAGAGAUCGGGGUUAGGGAUGGAGAGGAAUAGGUGACGUGCGUAGGAGGUGGCCUUGAGGUCGAAGAGCCUGUGAGUGAGUUUAGUAAUGGUGGAGAUAUCAUUUUGGAAGUCAUUAAGGAUGAUCUGAGCGUGGGUUUGGGUGAGAUGAGAAAGGGUUGUGGAUUUCUUGAGUAGGUUGAGGAAAAAGUUUCGACUUCCUGUGGGGGAGUAAGUGCUUGUUAUUGCGGACUUCAUUAACAUCUGCUUUACUAUGCAAACCAAGAGUCGAACUCUCUCUCGCUUUGAAUCAUACCAGAGGUAAAAUGGCGGGAAACAGAGAGCAAUGGCAAAUCCUGAUAAUUUUAUUGAAUCUGUUGAUUUUGUGAAUAAAAUUUUAUAAAAUUUCUAAUAUUUAAUAUUAAAAAUGAUAGAUAAAAGAUAACUAAUAAAAAAAAUAAAAGCAUAAUGGUCUUAACGAUUAAAAUGAAUUUUAUUAUCAAUCCAUUAAUGUGUGAAUUCGAGUAUAUUGAAAUGUAUUAUUCUCAUCAAUGUUAUGGGAAGUUAUAGUAUAGAUAUAAUCAGAACCUAUAGUUUUAACUGUUUGAAACUUUUUUUAAGUUAAAAUUAACUCACGACCUUUUAAAAAAAAUAAAUUUAGCCAUUAAUAUUUUAAAAAUAGUCACACUAUAUUUUUAACAUAAACAUCAAUUAAAACAUUAAAUUUUUAAAUACCUCAUCCAGCAUGUCAAUUUGUGUGUAUUUUAUGGUUUUUUUUUAAUUCUUAUGAAUAUUUUAUAAUUUUUAAAUUAUUUGUUGAUGUGUAAUAUAAAAUAAAAAAUCUAAUGUCAGAAUGAAGUACACGAGGAGUGUUAUGUUGGUUGCCAUUCCAAUAUCAUUAAAAAAUAAUGUAUUAGUUAACAUUUUCAUUUAAAAAAAUUAUUUGACUCUUUUUGAAAUGUUAAUGAUCAAAAUUAACACAAUAAAAGAAUAAGGGCUAAAUUGGUAAAGAAAAUGUAAUAUUGAGGGUUAAAUUUAUUAUUAUACUAAAAUUAAAUUCAAUAGAAAAAUUGAAAAUUAUAUAAAUUGACAUUUAUGUUUAGAGUAUGAUACGAGAAUAUCUUUUAUUUGAGUAACCGUACUUUUGAAUGGUAGCGAUUCUUGAGACUAUCUCUAAUGGUGGUGAUGGUCGGACAAUCAAAAAAAAAUUCGGCCUGGUGAAUUGGAAUCACCGGAUUUGGGGGACAUUAUUACAUGUUUUAUUUCUCAUUUAAACUUUUUGUUGUAGAUUAAAAAAUACUCAGUGAAUGACGUAACUGAUUUCUUGUUUUAAGCAACUCAUAAAUGGAAUUGGCAUUGGGCCGACCAAGCUAUUCUUUCAACACGGGGAUUACUUAAAUUUUCAAUGGAUUUAUGUUCCUCAACACCAAAGAAAAAUAGAAGAAAAUUGGAAUGCUGUAGAGAACAAAAAAAUUUAGCAAUUACACGGAAGUGAUCACAAAGUUGAGCUAUUUUCAAUUGAAUGACAAAACUUAUAGUUGGUACAAUGAAUAUAUAACUACACAAAACUUUCACUCUAAUUUUAUUCUGUCUUGUGCAUCUCCAUUCUUGUUUGUUCAUACAUCACAUACCAUAAUCUAAAAGAACCACGCAAGAUGAUUUUUUUCAACAGUUAAUGCCACACAUUGUAGUGUCUGGUCCUUUGGUUUUCAUCACAAAUGGAUCAAUUCGGACCCAAAGCAAGGAGAAGAUUGAAGCCAAUAGCACUGACCAUAUAACAACAAUGGUUGGUGUCCUGUUUUGUCUCCCCAUUAAACCUUUAAGGAAUGGAUAGAGAUGGACAAUCACCCAGAAAGAGAAGAAGAGCUUCCCAAAAAGAGGUCCCCAUGAUUGGUAUCCAUUGUUUAUGGCAUCUGAGAUGCCGGCAACGACACCGACUAAAUUGAUGAUUAAGACAGUAGUUGGAGGAAUUAGAAGGGUUGUCCAUUUGAAAGUAUACAAUUCCCCGAACUCCUCGUCAUCAGUUGCCUUGGAUGUGACAGUGAAAUUAGUGUCAAUACCAGCUAGAACUUUCAACAAGCCUUGGAUAACCGCGAACAAAUGUGCUGAAAUGCCACCGAUGACCCAAAAUUGCUCAUUCCUCCACCAUUCUUCAAUGCUUACUCCACUCCACCUUAGCUCGAGAAUACCAGUUGCAAAGAUUGAAAGAAACAAGGCAAUGAAGAAUAGACUUGCAAAGGUGCUUAUCUGUAUGAACAAGAAAAUAAGAACAUUAGCAGGUAAAACUAUUUAAACUUCAAAUGGUUAAAGGAGAGUUUGUUUAUUUACCGGUGGCAUGAUAAAUUUAUCGGUAAGUAAACAGAUUGCCGGCAGGGUACAAUAGGCGAGAAGUGGUAAAGAUGUGAAGGGGUAGAUGGUUGUGUUGACAUAUGCGAAUCGUUCAAGCCAUUUUAGCUUUCCUCCCUUGAAACCAUACCAUGCAGGGCAAUGAUGACUAAAGAAAAUUUCAACAGAACCGAGUGCCCAUCGAAGGACUUGGUUUAGUCGAUCCGAUAGAUUGAUGGGAGCUGAACCCUUGAAUGCAGGCAACUUUGGCAUGCAGUAUAUUGAUCUCCAUCCACGGCAAUGCAUCUUGAAUCCUGUUAAGAUAUCUUCUGUAAUCGAGCCGUAAAUCCAGCCAAGCUGCACGUACAAAAGAUACAUAAGUCUUGGUGUUUAAACUUGAAAAACAUUAUAAAGUUUCAAGAGGUUGGCAAUGGCAUUUUAAGUACCUCGCUUCCCCAUUCGGUUUUGUCUUCAUAACCACAACUAAUUACAUGAAUGGCUUCUUUGAGCAAAGCUGCAGGGCUUGAAGAAGGAGGGACACCACCUUGUUCCAUCAGUGUUGAAGUUACAAAAAUGGCUGAUUGUCCAAAUUUCUUUUCAAAGUUCAUGUGGGACAUCAAUAACUCCUUGUCAUCUUCGGCUGCUGUUAGUAUAUAAAAAAGAUUUUGAAGUUAGGCGAAGCGAAUAAACAAUAUAAAAAAUGUAAUGCCAUUGGUAACAACCUUCUAGGCUUAGACCAUUUGCAUUUCCACCAUCCUUAGAGUGCUUUUUGUCCUUUCUGCGGCGUCCAAAGCAAGGGCAGCAACCACAGGUUACCAUUUUCGGGCGCUUAGGUCCCUUUGGAGGUUCAUAACCAUAAAGAGCUUGCCUUCUGAAAACACACCCCGUGCCGACAUAUACAGGGCCUUGUAUACCAUCUAGACCUUUCAUGUUAAUCUGCAGAAACCAGAGAACAAGAGUUAAAAAAGUUUGAUUCAUUUAUUAGUCCUUAUAUCAUCUUAUAGUGUACAAGAACAUGCUGCACUUACAUCAAAGAAAACUGUGUUCCGAUUGGCAUAUCGAUCAUGUCUAUCAAUACCAUCGAAACGUUGAGGGAAUUGGACAUAGCAAACCUUUCUUCCAAUUUGAGGGUCCAUCAAGAAACACAUAGCCUCUCUUACAGCCUUGCUGUUAUUUAAAUAAUGGUCACAAUCCAAGUUCAACAUAAAAGGAGCAUUUGUAAGCACCCCCGAGACACGAACCUGAAAUUUUUGUAUAGAAUUAACAUAAUUAUUAUCAAAUAAAGUAGGGUCUUAGAAAGGAAGGGGAACUUGAAUGAAACAGGAGUUAGCAAAUGCUUAAGAUCUUUACAAGGGCGUUCAUGGCACCAGCUUUCUUGUGAUGCAAGAAACCUGGCCUUUUCUCUCGAGAUACAUAGACGAGACGAGGAAGCUCAUUUCCUUCGGUAUCAUGGCCUCCACUUUGACCGAGAAAUACUUGAAUCAUACCAGGGUGAUCUUUAGUAUUGUUUCCUGGCCAUGGUGUCCCAUCUUGCAUGAUCCACCCUUCUGGAGGAACCUUUUGGGCUUUGGCUACAAGUGCAUUUAUCCUAACCUUGAAUUCUUCAUAUUCUCUCUGUUAAAGCACCAUGAAAAAAUGGUUAUUUUUACAUAAACCAGCUCACUGCAACUUAAAACUCUGAACUUUUUGCAUAUAAACAGACCUUCAUAGCUCGACGCUCCUUCACGAAUGUCGGCUGGACUUUGUCUUUGAGGUAAUCUACCUUUAAAGUAAAGUACAUCUCCGGUGCUCGGGGCUCUAUAGCAAAUUUCUUACAGAACGGCACCCAUUUUCUAGCAAAUUCAGCUGUUUGAGACAAUGAUUCAAAGGUGAGCAUAGAAGCACCAUCGUCAGAAAUGUAACAAGAGAUUUUAUCCACUGGGUAGUCCAUGGCCAAGAUCGAUAGAACUGUAUUCGCUGUUACUAGAGGAGGUUCCUUCAAUGGAUCCACUGUACUGACAAAAAUAUCAACAGAAGCAAGCAUGUUGGGCUCACCUUCCCUCUCAUACCUGCAUCAAACAUUAAUUAUGAGCUCAAAUCAAUGCUACACUGUUCACUAGAACAUUGUGAAAUCUGUUUACCUGAGGGAAAGGCGAUCGAGAUACGUCUCGCGGUCAAUAGGGAACCAUUUAGGGAACUGAUCAAGGAUCCAUGAAAAGGCAAACCAGAUUUCACAGAUCACAGAAGUUAGCCAAAGCCCAAUUGCAUCAUGUACCGGGUUCAAAAUCCGAUAGCGAAGAAAGAAAGCAAGGAUAACUAGACGAGCCACAAUCACCAUACGAUAAGGAUUGAUUUUGCUCGAUGCAAUUGGCACUUUCCUUGACAAUGGCUGCCUAGCUUCAUCAAGCCUGUAAAGAAGGUUCUGCGUGAGAAGAACUCGUACAAGUUCUUUUUCACAUGGAAGCACAUAAUAGCCAUAAUUACUUACAUAGCCAUGUCAGCAUCAUAGGCAUCAUCAGGUUCAGGACCCAAAUUCCCUUGCUGCAUUUUCCAAUCAUCCAUCCUUUCUCUCCAUCCUCCCUCUUUCUUUUCAUCCCAUCUUGCACUUCCUUUGGUUUGGCAAAUAUUUAAUACAUUAUAGAUGUAAUACAAAACAAAUAUAUAUAUAUACAAGUACUUUUAGAUAAUACAAGAUUAAAAGCAUACCAGGUUCAGACAUAGGAUAUGGAUGAACUCGUUUAUUUGACAUGUGUUCCCCAUAAGCAAGAGAGCUUCCUAUUGGGAACUCCCCGCUCACCGGCCGAGAUCGAACACCAGCUAAACCGGGUGGGAUUUGCAAACCUUCAUCGUCUUCAGGGCCUCUCCCGUAGCUCAUCUUUCCAUGAAGCAUCGAUUCAGCGAUAUUUCUAUACUUGUUUUGUUCAUCAUCAAUGUUGAAUUCAUGUUCGAUAUCAUCCACAUCCUCUUCAUCUUCAUCUCCCUCCACCCUAGGACUCCCUUCACCGUACAAUCAAAACCAAAGGGGAAAUGAAAUGUGAGUUUAUUUCGAAGAAUCAAUGGCGGCUGCACCAAAGGAUGUAAAUGAGUAAAUGGCAAUACCUUUGAGACGCUUGUAUCUAGUUUUGCAUUGAGGACAUUGUUGACUCCCUUCUCUCCUUUCAUACUCAUAACAAGGCCUACAAACUGGAAAACCACACUCGUUGCAGGCCACGAAAAGAUCUCCAUCGACCGUCAACCCAAUUUCAUCACCACAAAUCUCACAAACUUGACCAUCCAAGUUCUUCAGAGGUUUAGGCUGAAAUGCACCACAAACACAAACACAAAAUCAAAACCCAUCUCAAAAAAAGGUAUAAGUGAACUGUUCCAUAAAGCUGACGUUCUUUUACCUCUUCAUGGCCAUGAAUGACAACAAGUUCAUUGCGGUUGUGAGAGCCCGCAACGAGUCCGGCGCUGGCUUCCAUUGGAGGAUAUGAAAGGAGGGAAUGAAUGAAUGAAUGAAUGAAUGAAUGAGGAACAAUACGAUGAAGAGAAGAGAUGAAAUAGAGUUUUGUUGGGAGCUGAACAUGUGCCUUAAGGGACUGUGUUCGUUUGUUGCAGAGUCUACAUUGCCUUGAAGUUAAGCUUUCCUCUGUCUUCUUUUUUUCAACUACCAUUGCCUUCCCUGCUUUUACAAGUUUCAAGCUUCAGCGACCUCCCAGCUGUCUAUUUUUCAUCAUUUCUUUUUCUUCUUUCCCGUAAUUGAAUCAUGCUUGGGUUGCCUGCCGAAUUUCCAAAGGCUUUUCCAGAUACUGUAAAUAAAUAUAUAUUUCAUUGAUCUUUUCCGAUAUCAUAAGUAUUUUCACUGAAUUACUUAGUGGUAAUGUAAAAGUAAAACUAAAAUAUCAAUUCAGAGAAGGUGAUACUAAAUUUGAUCCGUGUAGAAGCAAAACAGUCAAAAUUGAUGUGAAAGAAUAUUUUAAUAUCAUCAAAAUUCUGGUCACCGUGUAACAAUUUUCCAAGUGCAUACAACAUUUUUUUAAUUUCUAUUUUAGUCUCGAAUUAAUCUACAUUCUUCUUUUUUUAAUAUACUUUUUUUUUUACGCUACAUGAAAUUUUAUUUUAUUUUUUGGAACAUUUCUAAGAAUAGAAGCGUAGUUGGGUUGAUCUAAAGCACCAAUUAAAUGCUGAAUCCGAUGUUAGCAUCAAAUAUGAGUAUAUAUAUAUAUAUAAAAUAACUAUUUGGGAGUAAAUAUUAAUAUUUAAAAAAUAAAAAAUCUGAAUAAAACUAUAUGUGAAUACAUGUUAAAUAUUAGUAUUUUCUUUUAAAUAAAAAUUUCUCAAUAAAAUAGUCAAGAUCAUGAAUAACGAAAACUAGUUAUAUCAUUACACAAAAUAAAAAUUUUUAGCAUGAUUAAUAUUGUAUCAAUAGUUUUUUUUAUAUAUUUAUAUCAAUAUAUAUUAAUAUUUGCAUUUGUUCCGAACCUAAAUUACAUAAAUUAUAAUCAUGGUAUUAAAAUUAGUAUUAUAAUUAAUAAUAAAUUUUAAUAUCUAAAAAUAUCUUUUAAAUAACCUUAAAUAAUUUUCUUCAAAAGAGAAUUCGUAUACAGGUACAUCGUAGUUAGACCAAUUAAAAGCAUUUGAUGUUGUUGAAAGGAGAAUUCAAAUACAAGCAAUAUUGGAAUAAGAGACCCCCCGAAACUAUACAAUACAAUAAAUUUAAUAAAUAUAUAUAUAUAGCUUUAUUUGGUGGUGAAAUGGUGAUAAAGAGAAGAAGAAGAAGAACGUGAGAAGCAUGCUUGAGGAUGGAAGAACUUAAAGGCAAAGCAAAAGUAGCAAUCGUUAGGUAAAGACAUGUUGAAAUCUCUCCAUCUAAUAUUGUAGACAAGCCUCCCACCGUUUUAUAUACUAACUCAGACUGCAAAUUUUAUGAUUUCUCAUUGAAUUGAACCGUUGAUGAUGCAGUCAAAAAUUUCAGCAUUGAUAUCCACCAAGAAAAUUUCCUUAAGUCUAUGAGCAAUGCAUGAAGCUCGCAAAGAUUAUCAUCAGGUGACUGCUUUGAUUGCUAGAAUCUAGCAUUUUUCAAAAUGGGUGAAAGGAAUAGCAGGGCAUGGUGGUGACUAAAGCUGUUAUAUCAAUGUUGGUUUUAUAGGUGUCAAUCAACAUGUUUAAUAUACUUUGUUUGGGUCAUGCCAACUUCUCUAAAGAAAUACACAAUAUCAACAUAAGCAGCUUUAAAAUAAAAUUAAGGUUAAAAAUAUCAAAUAAGUUUUCUGAAAAUAAUUUUAAAAUAAUUAAUUAACUAUUUGUUAUAAGUUGACCCAAUUAAGUCCUUUGAAUUAUUAUUUGUACUUAAAUUGAGCUAUUUGAAUUCAUUUUUUCAUUAGAAAUCCAUAAUGAAUCGUUAAGUGAUAAGUGACAACUUACAUGACUACUAACAUAAAAAUAUAAUUUUGGGGUAAUUGAUAUGGCAAGUUGACACGACAUGGAGGGCUUAAUUGAUUUUUUUAUUGUUUUAGGUGAGACUAAUUAAUUGUUUAGUCCUAUUUAAGGAAAAAAUAAUUAAGUCUUUCAUGUCAUUAUUUUUUCUCGUCAUCUUGCUAUGUCAACUGUCUUGUCAGCAAAUGAAUUCAAUGAUUCAAUUAGACACAAAUCAUUAUUCAAAUGGUUUAAGUAGAUGCGUUUUUUGAUGAGAAUAUAAUUAAUUUUUAAUCAUUUUCAAAAGAAUUUUAAUAUGUUAACAAAAAAAUUUAUUAACUAGUUUUUAAAAUGAAUAAUUAUAUUCUCGUUGUAUUUAAUUUUAUUACCCAACAUGAUUUUUUUAAGAACAUAUAGAAUCAAAAUAGAAUUAUUUUUUCCAUUUAAGUAAACAUGUGUAUCGUAUUUUUAUGCACAAAAAACUGACAAAUUAAAAAAAAAAAAAAGAAACUUCAUUUUGUUGGUAAUCAGUAUUGUAUAGGUGAGUGUAUCGUUUUUCUAUUAAAAUUGAUACAUAUUGAUAUCAAUUUAUUUUGAUGUAUCAUUUUAAAUUUAUUAAUUUUUAAAAAAAUUUAAUAUAUCAAAUGAAUUAAAUUAAAUAAAUUUAAAUAAAAUAUUAAUUGAUUAUAUAAAAAAUUCAUUAAUAAUUUUCAAAAAUAAAAUUUUAUCAUUUAAUAAAUUUAAAAUAAAAAAAAUUCCCACACAUUAAACCACAAAAUUAUUCACAAAUUUAUUUAAAAAAAUAUACAAUAAGAUCGUCUCGUACUAAAUAUAUAAAAUAAAAGUUUAAUAAAACAUACGUAAAAUAUUUUGUGAAGCAUGUAAAAGUUUUAUUUAUUUUUUAAUUUGUUUGAUAUAUAAAUUUUUGUUUUUUUAUAAAGUUCAAAUUUUAAAUUUGAAACUUAAACACCUCCGUUUAGCAUUGCUUUUUUUGGUUGAAAAUUAAAUAGUUCCAUUUAAUAAUGAUUGCAGCCUUACACCUUACAAGUGGAAGGCUCUUUUUGACGAUACCGCAAUCAAAAUCUUAUAAUGUCAAAUUCGUAUAUUCUGAUUGUCAUCUCAUUUACUCCGCAAAAUCCAACCCUUUUGCUCUGAUUUGUUAAGCUUUCCGUAGCUUGAAUUUAAGGUUUUUUUUUUUUAAAUUGUGUGAAAUUUAUGUAUCUAAAAUAUAAAUUUGUGUUAAAAAUAAUAUAAAAAACAAUAAAAUGUUAAUGAAUAAUGAUAUGUAUGAUUUGUUAAUUACAAAUAACAAAUUGUUUUAUUAUUAUUUUAUAUUGAUUUGUUAUUUUUAGUUAUUAAAAUGAAUCUUGUUUCAAAUAAUUAAAAGAAAAAAUUGAACAGUAACAUUUCAAUGAAAAAGAGAAUCUUUAUCGACAAAGUUCCAUCAAAUAAAACUAUGAUUUUUUUUUUUGUAAAACUAAAAGUAUAACAACAAGGGUAAUUUACCAAUAAAAAGUCUUUUUUUUAAUUACCGAAAUGGGCCUAUUUUUUAAUUAUUUACCGAAAUGGUCCCUUUCCGGGAAAUCACGUCCACGUCAGCGCGAUAUCAGGGUACGCGUCAGGAAAUCACGUCCACGUCAGCACGAGAUGCUGACGUGGAAGGAAAUCGCGCUAUCAAGGACGCGAUUUCCUUCCACGCUAGCAUCUUGCGCUGACGUGGACGCGAUUUCGGCCCGUGCGUGAACAGUACCCAAGAGUCAAAAAAAUAAAAUACCGGGCCCAUUUCAAUAAAUUUUAAUAAUAUAGGGCUUUUUUGGUAUUUUGAAAAAAUAAAUUUUGAAUCUUUUUGUAUUUGUAUUUAUUUUUUUUAAUCAAUUAACUCUUCAAUAUUACAUCAAUAGCAACAAGUACAAAAAAGAUUCAAAAUUGUUACCAACAAAAUUUGAACCAAGGUACUAAGAGAAAAGAGCAAGUAUCUUAACCAACUAAGCUAAACUAAUUAAUUGACAUAUUAUAGAUAUACUGUUAUUAUCUUAAUUAUAUUACUUACGUUCUAACGAUUUAUCGGACCUAUUCCAUACACGUGUCAAAUCAGAAAAAAUAAUACAACAAUUCUGUAAAAAAAAUCCGGUGUUCACUUCAAAUAAAUAAGGAAAAUAAUGAUUUGAAUGUUUCAAAAUUCAAUUCAUAAACAAAUAAAUGCUGUUAAUUUUGAAUAAAUAUGAAUUUUAUAUGCUGAUUUAAAUUUUAUGAAUAUAUAUAAGUGUUGGCCGAAUGUUUAAAAGCUUGGGAGCUAUGUUUACGAGAUCGAUUCGAUCGUGUAACAACCCGAUUUCGAUCCUAAUCGGAAUAGUAGUUUCGAAACCAUAAAUCCGAGUCAAAAACAAUUUUAAAUAUUAUUUUUUGUGUUUAUAAUUUGUGAAUUAAUAUGUGUGAAAAUUUUGUGAUUUAAUUUUACUGUUUGUGUGUUUAAUUUGAUAAAAGGACUAAAUCGCAAAAAGUGUGAAAGUUCUAUUUUACAAUCUAAAGGUGUCUAAAAGCUAUAGAAUAUUAAUUGGAGGUCCCUAAUGUGGAAUUAGGCCUUGUUUAGGGUGGUGGCUGGCCACAGGGACAAAGAAAAGAUUUGGUCAAUUGGUUAGGUAAAAAUUUGGUGACUAAAUUGAUUUUUAUCAUAAAAUAAAGAAAAGAGUGAUAUCAUCUUUUCUUCUCCACCUUCACCACCGAAAUUUAGCAAAAUAGGGGUUUGAGAGCUCAAAAAUUUCGGCAAGCUUUUCUCCUUACAAGUAAGUGUUUUGAUGAUCAUUCUUUGAUAAUUUUUGUACUUUUGGAACCCUUGUAGCUUGAGCUAGCUAAUGAGGGGACUAUUUUGCAAAUGGUUGGAAGUCUAGGGUUUUGCCAUGUGAGCCUUUAUGUUGGUUGCUGCAUUUUAUGGAAGAAAAUGAGUCUUAGUUGUUAAAUAAACAACUUUUGUGAAAGGUGUUACCAUGAAAACACCUAAAAGGACCUUUUUUGUAAAGGUUAUAAAAUAGGUGUUAAAUAUGUGAAAUAAAUGACAUGUAUGGACUUGUAUUACUCUAGGGAAUAUUCGGCCAAGCUAUAGUGUGGUCAAAUUUGGAAUAUUUUGUAUUUUGUGAAAUAGGGACUAAAUUGUGAAAAAUGUGAAAUGUCAGGGCAAAAGUGAAAUUUACUUAUUUAUGCGUUUUUUUGACUGAAUUGAAUGAAAUUAUGUUUGAAUGAGUUUAAUUUGAAUAUGUUUAGAUCAAGAAUUAAAGAAAUCGAACUUGGAUCGGGGGAAAACGAAAGUCGUCGAUUAAUCGUUCCGUUCCGGUUUAUCGUUGUCUGAGGUAAGUUUAUAAGAAAAUAGAUGAUAUAAAUUCUAAAUAAAUAUUAGUUAUAUAUAUGCUGAAAUGAAAACAUGCAAAUAUAUAUAUGUAGCCGAAUGUGUUUAAGUUCGGGUAAUAGAAAUAGACGUGGAUGUGAUUUACCGAUAUUUAGCACUGAGUGUGCGAGUGUGGAAUAGCUAUGGCUAUACGAACAGCACUAAGUGCGCGAAACUAAAAUGACAAUGUUGAAUAACGGGCACUAAGUGUGCGAAACAAAAAUGACGAUGUCGAAUAACGGGCACUAAGUGUGCGAUAUCAAUAUCAAUUUGGUUAAAUAAGAUAGAGCACUAAUUGUGCAACGUCAUUAUAGCUUCGACAAAUUAUUUAGCACAAAUUGUGCAGAUCCAAUGAAUGAUGAAUGUGACAUAUAAGUACAUGAUAUUACAAGUAUGUAAUAGUUAAAUAAUAUAUGAUAUCAAGGUAAGUUGGUUAUUUCAAUUGUGAUACAAAUUAGAUGAUGCAAAUGAAAGUAUGUGUGUGUAUUAAAGAUUAUAUUUGGCCAAAUGGUAAGUGUAUGUGAUAUCACAAUUAUGUUUUUUUUUAUGCUUAUAUAUAUAUGAAUAUGAAUUGAAUAAUUCGGUUAUGUGAUAUUGAACUAUUAAUAACAUUGAAUUGUUUAUUUGCUUAUGACUUACUAUGUGAAAAAUGGCUUAUUUACAUGUGAAAAAUGUUUGCUAUGUUUUGUUAAUAAUGUGGUAAAUAUUUUGAUAUAUAUAUAAAUUCGGUUAUAGCAUAUUAUUGGGAAUUAUCCAUAUUUAUGGAAAAUCAAAGAUAUGGGUAUCAAAUAAUGGAAAGUCAAAGAUAUGGGUAUCAAAUAUUGGAAAGUCAAAGAUAUGGGUAUCAAAUAUUGGAAAGUCAAAGAUAUGGGUAUCGAGAUAUUGGCAUAAUAAAAUCUGAGAUAUUUGCAAUAUAUGGUCCCUAAAUUGUAAAGUGACUUUGCAAGUUGAUCCCUGAACCUCAACUAUAAAUAGGCAUAACCAUCUCUCAUUCUGUAUCUCAAACUUGCCAUUCUCUACUUAAGGCAUUGUUUUCUCUCUCACUCUUUGUAAAUUCUCACUUGUAUUUUGGAGUGAAAUAUAUUUGGUAGUGCCCGAGGACGUAGGCAAAAUUUGCUGAACCUCGUUAAAUUCUUGUGUUCUUUAUUGUAUUAUUCUGCAUGAAUUGUGUGUGUGAUUGUAGUGAUUUAUUGUGCUAUUAAAUUACGAUUGAGGGAUAUUCUGGCUAGGAAAGACCUGGUACUUAAGCGAUCCUUGCGAUCCACCUCUCUUUCCUGGGAAUUGAACUUAGUGUGAUUUUUUAGUACAAUAAUUUUACUCUUUUACACGCUUUCGCACAACAAUUGGUAUCAGAGCUAGAUUCGUACUUGGGGAAUACGAUCGUUCACGGCACUGUUCACGUACUGUAGUUGGGAUUGAGGAGAAAAAAAUGGAAAAGUCAUCGUCAAAGACUACUGUGACCAAUGCGAAAUUUGAAGUAGAGAAAUUUGAUGGUACCAAUAAUUUUGGUAUGUGGCAAUGUGAGAUCCUGGAUGUCUUAUGUCAGCAAGAGCUGGAUAUAGCCCUUGAAGAAAAACCUAACAAGAUGGAUGACAAGGAGUGGGCCAAGAUCAAUAGACAGGCUUGUGGAACAAUUCGCCUAUGUUUGGCCAAAGAGCAGAAGUACUCUGUCAUGAGGGAGACAUCAGCGAAGAAGUUGUGGGAUACACUGGAAGAAAAGUUUCUAACAAAAAGUCUUGAAAAUAGGCUUUAUAUGAAAAAGAAACUUUAUCGAUUCACGUAUGCACCCGGUAUGUCGAUGAAUGACCAUGUGAACUCAUUCAAUAAAAUUUUAGCAGACUUGCUAAAUUUGGAUGAGAAAUUUGAAGAUGAAGAUAAGGCAUUAUUGUUGUUGAAUUCCCUUCCUGAUGAAUAUGAUCAUCUUACCACCACAUUGCUUCAUGGGAAGGACACGAUCACAUUUGAUGCAGUCUGUAGUGCGUUGUAUAGAUCUGAGACUCGAAAGAAAGAUAAAAGAGAUCACAGAGAUACAACCGCAGAAGUCUUAACAGUAAGAAGUCGUUCACACAGCAGCAAAUCUAGUAGAAGGGGAAAGUCCAAAGGGAGACCCGCCAAAGAUGAAUGUGCCUUUUGCCGUGAAAAAGGGCAUUGGAAAAAGAAUUGUCCUAAGCUACAAAAGGGCAAGGCUAUUUCUAAUGCAUGUGUAGCGGAGCAUGAUGAGGAGUCAGACUUUAGCUUGGUUGGCAUGGCAAUGGCAUGUCAAACGGAUGAGUGGAUUUUGGAUUCAGGAUGUACUUACCAUAUGUGUCCUAAUAAGGACUGGUUUUCUAGUCUUAAAGAGCUAGAAGGUGGAAUUGUUCUUAUGGGAAAUGAUAGUGCUUGUAAGACAAUGGGAGUGGGUACAGUCCAAUUGAAGAAUCACGACGGCUCAAUCCAAGUCUUGACAGAUGUUCGCUACGUACCUAGCCUGAAGAAAAAUCUCAUCUCAUUAGGUGCCCUAGAAUCUAAAGGGCUCACAAUCACUUUGAGAGAUGGAUUACUAAAAGUAGCAGCUGGGCAACUGACGGUGAUGAAAGGCACAAGAAGAAAUAACUUGUAUUUUUUAAAUGGAAGUACAGUUAUUGGAUCAACAUCAACAUUUUCUACAAAAGAUGUAGAUUCAGAGGCUACCAGAUUAUGGCAUAUGCGAUUGGGACAUGCUGGUGAAAAAGCUUUGCAGACAUUGGUGAAGCAGGCUUAUUGAAAGGUGCAAAUUCUUGCAAAAUGGAAUUCUGUGAACAUUGUGUUCUGGGCAAGCAGAAGAGGGUAAAAUUUGGUCCAGCAAUUCACAAUACGAAAGGAAUUCUGGACUACGUUCACAGUGAUGUGUGGGGACCUACCAAAGUAGCUUCUUUGGGAGGUAUGCACUAUUUUGUUACUUUUGUUGAUGAUUAUUCAAGAAAAGUAUGGGUGUAUCUAAUGAAAAGAAAAAGUGAAGUUUUGGAUGCAUUUCUGAAAUGGAAGAAGAUGGUAGAGACUCAGACUGGUCGAAAGGUCAAACGACUUCGAUCAGAUAAUGGUACUGAGUACAAAAACGAUCCAUUUCUACAAGUAUGCCAAGAUGAGGGCAUUGUGCGACACUUCACUGUUCGGGAUACACCACAGCAAAAUGGGGUGGCAGAACGAAUGAAUCGAACUAUACUGGAGAAAGUUCGAUGUAUGUUGUCCAAUGCUGGAUUGGGCAAAGAAUUUUGGGCUGAGGCAGUUACAUAUGCGUGCCAUCUAAUUAACCGUUUGCCAUCAGCUGCAAUAAAUGGAAAAACUCCUAUGGAGAUGUGGACUGGUAAAUUUGCUACUGAUUAUGAUUCUUUGCAUGUAUUUGGUUCCACUGCAUAUUAUCAUGUAAAAGAAUCUAAGUUAGACCCAAGAGCAAAGAAAGCAUUAUUCUUGGGUAUAACUGAUGGAGUAAAAGGAUAUCGUCUCUGGUGUCCUGAUACAAGGAAGAUUGUUUUCAGUAGAGAUGUGACUUUUGAUGAAUCAACCAUGUUGAAGUACAAGGAUUCACAAAAGGAUGACAAAACCAGUAGUACUUUGCAGCAGGUGGAGCUUGAAAAGGUUAACGAUUUUCCAGCUAAUAUUGAAGGGACAAAUGAUGAAGAGGUUCCUACCCAAGAAUCUCUACAUCAACAAGAUUCAAUUGCAUAUAGAAGGCCAAGAAGAGAGAUUCGUAAGCCUGUUCGCUUUGAUGAUAUAGUGGCCUAUGCACUUCCAAUUACAGAUGAUGAUGUUCCUUCUACUUACACAGAAGUAAUAAGUAACCCUGAUGGUGUAAAGUGGAAGCAAGAAAUGAAUGAAGAAAUACAGUCUCUUCAUAAAAAUAAGACCUGGGAGUUGGUGACACUACCCAAGGGAAAGAAGGCAAUUGGAUGCAAAUGGGUAUAUGCAAAGAAGGAAGGAUUUCCUGAUAAUAAUGAAAUUCGAUACAAGGCUAGAUUAGUAGCAAAGGGUUACGCUCAGAAAGAAGGAAUAGACUACAAUGAAGUGUUUUCUCCAGUUGUGAAGCAUUUGUCUAUUCGGAUUUUGCUAGCCUUGGUUGCGCAAUAUGAUCUUGAACUAGUUCAGCUUGAUGUGAAGACAGCGUUUUUACACGGUGAUUUGGAAGAGGAAAUCUAUAUGACUCAGCCAGAUGGAUUCAAGGUUGCUGUAAAAGAAAAUUGGGUUUGCAAACUGACAAAGUCGCUUUAUGGAUUGAAGCAAUCUCCGAGGCAGUGGUACAAGCGAUUUGAUCAGUUCAUGAAAGGGCAAAGGUACACAAGAAGUAAAUUUGAUCAUUGCGUGUAUUUUCAGAAGCUACAAGAAGGAACUUUCAUAUACUUGCUCUUAUAUGUUGAUGAUAUGCUAAUAGCAUCUAAGAGCAAAGUUGAUAUUGAAAGAUUGAAGACUCAACUCAAUCUCGAGUUUGAGAUGAAAGAUCUAGGAGAAGCUAAAAAGAUUCUCGGCAUGGAAAUAUGGAGAGAUAGAGCUCAUGAUAGAGUUAGCUUGUCUCAGAAGCAGUAUUUGAAAAAGGUACUACAGCAGUUUGGCAUGAACGAGCAGACAAAACCUGUAAGUACCCCGUUGGCUUCUCAUUUCAAGCUUUCUGCACAACUAUCUCCUUCGACGAAUACGGAACGAGAAUACAUGUUGCAAGUUCCGUAUUCUAAUGCAGUAGGUAGCUUGAUGUAUGCAAUGGUGUGUACAAGACCCGACAUUUCACAGGCAGUUAGUAUAGUGAGCAGGUAUAUGCAUAAUCCUGGAAAAGGACAUUGGCAAGCUGUGAAAUGGAUUCUACGGUAUAUUCAUAAGACCAUGGAUAUUGGAUUACUGUUCAAGCAGGAUACUACACUUGGUAAAUGUGUUGUUGGGUACGUUGAUUCUGAUUAUGCCGGUGAUUUGGACAAACGAAGAUCAACCACUGGUUAUGUGUUUACUCUCGUUGGAGGACCAAUAAGUUGGAAGUCUACACUGCAGUCUACAGUUGCGUUGUCAACCACAGAAGCUGAAUACAUGGCUGUAACAGAGGCUGUAAAGGAAGCUAUUUGGUUACAAGGUAUGGUUAAAACCUUGGGAUUGGUCCAGGAGCAUAUUAAUGUGUAUUGUGAUAAUCAAAGUGCUAUUCAUUUAGCAAAGAAUCAAGUCUAUCAUGCACGUACAAAGCAUAUCGAUGUAUGUUUCCACUUUGUGCGGGAAAUUAUUGAUGAGGGGAAAAUUCACCUUCAGAAGAUUAAGACUGCAGAUAAUCCCGCAGAUAUGAUGACCAAGGUGGUAACAACAAUCAAGUUCGAACAUUGUUUGAACUUGAUCAAUAUUCUGCAUGUUUAACAGUUGAAGAAGGCACUAUCAAGUGUUGUUGACAAAGGCAGAGAGAAUUGUGUGAAGAUAAGAUUACUCGAAUCAAAUCUUCAAGGUGGAGAUUAUUGGGAAUUAUCCAUAUUUAUGGAAAAUCAAAGAUAUGGGUAUCAAAUAAUGGAAAGUCAAAGAUAUGGGUAUCAAAUAUUGGAAAGUCAAAGAUAUGGGUAUCAAAUAUUAGAAAGUCAAAGAUAUGGGUAUCGAGAUAUUGGCAUAAUAAAAUCUGAGAUAUUUGCAAUAUAUGGUCCCUAAAUUGUAAAGUGACUUUGCAAGUUGAUCCCUGAACCUCAACUAUAAAUAGGCAUAACCAUCUCUCAUUCUGUAUCUCAAACUUGCCAUUCUCUACUUAAGGCAUUGUUUUCUCUCUCUCUCUUUGUAAAUUCUCACUUGUAUUUUGGAGUGAAAUAUAUUUGGUAGUGCCCGAGGACGUAGACAAAAUUUGCUGAACCUCGUUAAAUUCUUGAGUUCUUUAUUGUAUUAUUCUGCAUGAAUUGUGUGUGUGAUUGUAGUGAUUUAUUGUGCUAUUAAAUUACGAUUGAGGGAUAUUCUGGCUAGGAAAGACCUGGUACUUAAGCGAUCCUUGCGAUCCACCUCUCUUUCCUGGGAAUUGAACUUAGUGUGAUUUUUUAGUACAAUAAUUUUACUCUUUUACACGCUUCCGCACAACACAUAUAGGUGGAGUGAAAUUGAUAUGUAUUGUUAAUUAUUGAAACUGAUUAAGGUUUAAGUUCAUUCAGAAAAUACUAUUAUGUAUUCAUAUAAGGUGAUGUUUGAUUAUGUAUUCGGCAAUAAAUUAAGUAAUAGAUGUUAGUUAAGUUAUAAUACGUAUUAGCUAGGUAAUAGACAUGUUAUAUAUGCAUGUGGCGUACUUGACAAAUGUUUGAUUUGCAUAUGUGAGUGAUUUUAUAAUUUGGUUUAGUAAUGAAAUGAAUGAAUGGAAGCAUGUAUUGAUUGUAAAAAAAGAAGUUAAUUGUGUCGGUUUGGAAUGAUAAGUUUGCAUGAGUAUUUGGUUUAGAAAUGGUGAACAGUUGUUUAUGAAAAUAUUCGACUAUGAUUUUGAAUUUAAUUUGAUAAGUACGAAAUAUGAUAUAGGACGUGUAUAAUACUGAGCGUUAUUGGUUGAUUUGAUGGAAUGGAUUUGAUGUAUUUAGUAUAAAAGUAGAAUUUUUAACCGAAUAUAGAGGUUUUGGAUAUGAUAGAGUAUUUGAAAUUUGACAUGAAUUAUUACAUAGGAUUUAGGUAAUAUUUUAAUUCGGUCUAGGUGUUGAGUUUGGUAAUCUAUUAAAGGUAGGUUAAAUAAACGUUAUAUGAAAGAUUUAUUAAAUGACCGAUUAUGAGAUAAGUUAGCUUAGUUGUGUGAAUGAAAUUUGGAAUGAUUUAAAGCAUAUGGAAGUGGUAUGUUUUGAUUCGAUUAAGUUCAUGGAAAAUGGUCAAUGAAUGUCAAGUGAACAUUAUAAUAUUUUAUAAAUAAAUGUUGUAAUAUGUGCACUUGGUUUAUAAAGCGGAAUAUGUUUGAUUAUAAAUUAGGUAUUCGAAUAUCAUGCAUGUAAUGCUUGUAUAUUUUGAAUAAUAUAUAUUUUUAAGUAAAGUAGUUUAACUUUGAACCAUGAAAUGUAAUGAAUGCUUGCUUUGAGCUAUGUUCUGUACAGUAAUACCUCGUAACCCAAAUCCGGCGAUAUGGAUUAGGGGUGUUACAAUUACACUCUCCUGUAAUCGUAAAGAAUUGUAACUCCUUAGACUUGUUUGGUUUGACACAAUAUGAUUAUAUUCUCUAUCAUAUUUAGUAGUGCAAACUGUAAUUACAAAUAGGAAUUACGCAAUUAAAUAAUUUAUUAAAAAUAUUAAUUACUAUCAAAAUUACUACUAUGAUAAAAGAAAUUAUGAAUGAGUAAUAAAAAUUAAAAUCAAAUUAGCACAUGUAAUAUAUCAAUUUAAGAAAGUAAUCUAUAAUACAAUUAAUAGUAGAAAUAAAAAAAGUAAACAUCAUAUGCAAUUUUAUUUAAUUACUUUAGCAUUCCAUAUUUGUUGGGUUAUUCCCUUUUUAGCAUUUAACAUAUGCUCAUUGAUAUCAUUUGUUAGUCUUUGACUAAACUCUUCAUCAUUCGAAUUCAAAUUUGAAUUUACAUCAUUAAAAUUAUCAAUAUCUCAUCCUUUCAUGUAGCCUUCAAAGUAUGGAUGAUUCCAAUUUCAUCUAUGAAUAAAGUUACGAAGUAUGCAACAUGUUAAUACAAUCCAAACUUUAUUUUUAUGUUAUACUAAGAUGAUGCCAAUAAGUAUUUGUUUAGAACGACAAUUGUUAUCUCAACCACAUUUUAAAGCUUAGAAUGUGUCAAAUUAAAUAUUUUGUGAGCCGUUUCUAAUGCUUGUGUCCAGCUCCAUUUUCUCAAAUGAUAUCGUACCCAUGAUAUUGUGUAAUAAAACUUUUUAUAUUCAGUUAACUAUCAUAUACUGCAAAAUAUUUAGGUUCUUAGUGUAACCAAUAUGUAGUUUUGAUUAUAAAAACUCAUAUAAACUUAAUUUAGAGAAAAUUUUAUACUAAAUUAUAACUUUUUUUUUAAACUUAAAUUAAUAUUAAAUUUUAUAACAUAUAACCUUUAUAAAAAAAAUUAAAAAGUUCCAAAUAACUCAUAAAUAAUAUAAUUUUUUACCAUAAUUUUAAAAAGUUAUUUUUUUUAUAAAUAAGUUAUAACACUUCUUUUUUUUAAUAAACAAAAUGUAUUAUUUUAUGAUAUAUAAAAUGGACACAGAAAUAAGUUACAUUCAUUUUUUUUUCUACAACUUUUACAUUAUAACAUUUUUAUAAUAUACUUUUUGACCACGACUUAUAGGAUUUAAAUAAUAUAAUUUUUUGUUAUAACUUUAUAAAAUACAUAAAUUAUUUUUUAUGAUAUACUUUAUUAAGAUUUAUAAUAUAACUUUAAAAAUUUUAGAUAUAACCAUCUCAAACAUUCAUAUAUAUUCAUACUUAUAAUAUAAUUUUCACAAUUUAAACUUUAUAAAAAAUAAAAAUUUAAAGUUAAAUUAUACAUGAGUGUUUGAAAAGUCAUAGGGUAAUUGGAGUUGGGUGUAAUUAUCUGCGUAAUUAUUCAGAUUCUUGCACACACUCUAAGAAUUGAAAAGUGUAAUUGAAGUGCUUUAAUUACAAUAAUUAUUCAAACAUGUCAUCAUUAUGUAAUUAUAAGUAAUAACACCCAAAUUUAAUUACUAGGUGGCUUUCUAAACACUACCUAAUGUGUAAAUUUAUACAUUAUUUGUUCGCCAAAAAAGAAAAACAUUAUUUCCUUUGCUAGACGUAAUAUUUUAAACAUAUUUUAGCAGAUGAGUUAAUAAUAAGCUAACUUUGAUUUUUUUAGUAUAAAAAUAUUUCAAACACAUUUUAGCACAUGAGUUAGCAAUAAGCUAAUUUGGUUAUUUAAUUUUUAGUCACUCACAUAAUUUAUUUAUAAAAAAAAAUUAUUUGAAGAGGUAUUGUUUUAGAAUUUCCAUCCUUUAAUUUAAAGCUUAAUUUUAUAUUAACUAUCUUCUAUUCUUUUAAUAUAAUUAUAGUUCGAAAUCAAGUUAUUUUAAAAAAAUAAGCAAUCGAUAAUAAACUAUAACUUAAGUCAAAUGUUUAAUUUUUUUAAGUCGUAUAAUAUUUUGGGUCAAAACAAGUUUUGAUAAUAUCUAUUUUUUCAACACAAUAUGUUUAAAACUAUCCAUAAUCCAUUUCUAACCUAUAAAUAGGAGAAUAAUAAGCUUCAACAAAUUCGAAUCCACGUCCUCCUGCAUAAACAAUAAUAUUCAUACUAACCGAAUUAAGACUCAAUCGGCAUUACUAUUUAUAUUUUCAUACUAGAUCUAACGUAAUAUUAUACUAUAUCGCUGCAAUAAUGAUAGGAAAAUCAAUGAAAUUAUCAUGUAAAUAAUAUUAAAUCUUAUAUAACAUACUUAUAAACAUUAACUCAUACACAGUCAGUCAGCAGGUAAUAUCAUAUCUUUAACAUUUAUAAAAAUAAAUACGAAUAAUUUUACUGUUAAUAAUGUUUAUGGCGAAAGGCCUCUUUAAAAUAAUUACAUUUAUGAAUAAAUUCAUUACAAUUAACGAUAGUAUCACGAAAAUACAUUUUGAAAAUAAAUAAGAAUAAGUAUUAAAAUUAUACAUGAACUUCGAUUUAACGUGUGAUGUUAUGCAUAAAUUUUAGUUUUACGUGGUUUUAUACAUAAAAUUUUUAUUUGAUUUAAUAUUCAUAAGUCAUUAACAACAUUAUCGAGUUAACACUAUUUUACAUUUAUAUAUUGCAUAUACAAACAAUUGUAUUAAUUUAAUAUACAAAUAAAUAUAUACAAUUAAAUCAAAAUAAAAAUUUAUUAUUUAUAAUUAUAUCUAAAUUUAAUAUUUAUCCCAGUAAAAUAACUCCACAUAUAUCAUGUAAUUAACGCUAAUUAGCAAUGGGAUGGUAGUUUUCUUUUUUAUUACAUUUAUUUCUCUUUGGAAUUUAUUAAACAAGUGGAAAAGAAAAUUUAAAUUACAAAUGAGUUUUCCCCCCCGGAGAAACAGAUAGUAAAAUAACUAGAGAACCGUAAAAUUUUAGGAGUUUUUUAAAAGUCAUCAAGUGAUUUAAUAAAAUAUAAAUUAUAUUUAAAGUUGAUAAUUAUACAUUCUUUAUUAUUUAUUUUAGUAUUUUUAUAAAUUUUGUGACUGAAUUUAUGUUGGAUUUAAUAAUAUUGAAAACGUUAAAUUAUUAUUUUUUAAAUGUCUCAUAUUACAACGUAAAUUCCGACUUCGAGCAGAGGUAAGGGUAAAGUUAUCAAUUAACGCCAAAGGCAAUCUAAGGGAUAAAGACGUAAUUAUGUAUAUAAAAUAAUAAAUAUAAUUCAGAAUCAGAUGCAUAUAAAUCAAAAUAUCGACUCAAAAAAGAAAAAAGAGAAAAAAGAAGAAAAGAAAAACCCUUUCCAAAGAAGGGUUUGUUUUUCCUCAACACCGUCCUCACAUCCUUUUUCUCUUCUCUUCUUUGCGCCACCCGCAGAAGAGAGAGAGGAAAAAAGAAACUCACUUUCAUCACGUCUCUCUCUCUUAGAUAUAAAAAAUCUUCCUUCCUUUUCGGGUUCUUCUUAUUCAACAUUCAGAUUCAGCGUUUUAGAUACCGCUGAGUUGUUGGUUUUUAUAUAUCGGACGGCUGAGAUUGGAUCUUACCUGAGAAAAGAAAUCGAGGUAUGCAGCAAGGUGAUCAGACAGUGUUGAGCUUAAGACCUGGUGGUGGUCGAGGGAGUAGAUUCCUUGGUGGUGGUGGUUCUUCUUCAUCGUCAUCAUCUUCUUUAUCUUUUGGUUCACUUUCUUCUGAUCUUCCACUUUUCCUUCCUCAUGGCGGUGCUCCUUCUUCCUUUUCCAUCAAGGUUAUAUGCCUGUUUUUUUUGGAUCUAGCCUUUUUGAUGUUGACUUUAGUUGCUUUUUUUUUAAAUAAAUUAAACUGCUAGUGUAGCAGCUAUUAAGCACUACUCUUUUGAGAUUGAAUAUUUGAUAGUAGAUUUGAUUUUAUCUGAGAUAAAACAUUUACAUCUUUUGUUUUUCGUGACUUAGUUUCUAACCUUAUCCUUUUUGGUUUAGUAGCAUACUUGUAUUUUCUUUAAAUGGAAUGCGCAGGGAGAUAUCUUUUGGGCAUUUAAAAGAGGAAGAAUGUGUUUAGCUUUGUUCUAAUUCUUGAUGGGGCACUUAGUAUGUGUACUUGACAAAGAAAAAAAAUGUAGUCCUUAGUUGGGAAUUUUUUGAGUUGAGUGCCUAAAGAACCUACAAACCCAAGUAUCUUAUAUAUAUAUUUUGAAACAAAUAUAGAUAUUCCGUUUUUUGAAGAGCAAUGCUUGUCCCAAAGUUUAUUUCAGCACACGGGCAAGUUUUUUUAGCACGCAGGAGAACAUAUGAAAUCAAUCAAAUUCAGUUGUGGAGUUUUGAAAUAUUAGAUAAUAAUAUAUAGUUCUAUAGUUUCAAAUUCUAUUUACUUGGAGAAAAUUAGCUAAUACAAUUGAGUUGAUGUUUUAAUUGUAUGGACCCUUUUUUCCCAUAAUGAGUAACUAAUUUAUCAGUUGCUUUACUGUUGUAGGCAGGAGACUCACGAUUUGAUGGGCGUGAAUGUGUGCGGUACACUAGGGACCAGCUUUUGCAGCUUAGGGAGGUAAUUGCACGAACUUGUGCUUAGUAAUACACUUAAUCUGUGCGUCAGCAGCCUAUUGUUGCAUUUUACAUCUAAAAACCAAACAGAAAACCAGUAUGCCUUUAUUUGCAUGCAAGGAAGUUCUUCAAUGUUGUUAGCAUUCUGCUUCAAUUAUAAUGAGUUAGUCAUGCAAAUAAGCUGUUCAGCAUUUUUCCUAAUUGGUUUUGGUUCUACUGAAUUGAAAGUUAGGGCAGUUUGACUUUUCGUAUAGAAUAUAUGAUUAUGUUUGCCAUCACUUUAGGCUGUAGAGGUUUCUGAGGAGAUUCUUAAAAUCAAACGAGAAAUUGAAGUGGAACUCUUUGGUGAAGAUCAGAACUGGGCUCGUGGAGAAAGCAAUGUAAGCUCUAAGUGCUUGCUUGUUUUUUUUUUUUACUUUUUAACGAUCUUAUUCUUGUAGCAACAAACCGCCAUGACAAAAUUCCUGUAUUUCCAGAUAUUACUACCAAGCAGUCAUUCUUUGUUAACAUUUGUCUAUUUUAUUAUUAUUAUCUUUUUCUAGUCAUCAAAUCAGGUUCCGACCCGUUAUACUGAGCCUGACAAUCGUGAUUGGCGCAACCGCUCAGCACAGUUUCCUUCUACUGGAGAGGAGAGGUCCUGGGAAUCACUUCGGGAUAGAGAAUCUGGAAACCGAUAUGACUCCAGACAGCCUGAAGCUAAUCAAUUUAAUCGACAAGAUCAGCCUAACCCUCAGUUCUCAAGGGCACAAAUCUCUUCUAACCAGGGGGUAAUUCUCAUAAAACGAGAUUCUUUUUGUUUUUGAGAUAUCAUUUGCCUUUUUUUCUUUUUGUUACAGGAGAUAUCACUUCUUGGGGUUGUUAGGUGGGUAUUUAAGGCAUUUUGUGACAUAUUACUUGGUCAAUGAGCUUUUUGUACGUAAAUUUACAUUGGGCAUUAGUGAUGCAUUUGCUGUUCUGCUCCACUUGACAUCUUGACCUCUAGGCAUUUAGUUCAAUCAGAGAAAAUUAAUUGAAUGAGUACACCAUUGAUUUUUUGUUUUUAAUAAUUUUUAUGUAUGAUAAUAGAUGGUUAAACAGUGUUGGUAACCUUAUAGUUAGGAUUUUUCUUUUCUAUUAUUUAUUAACUCAUCUGCUUCAUUUCCGAUGCAUUUUCUCAAUUUUUACAUAGUGAUGACAUUCUAUGGACUUUGUCACCUGCUUUGUUCAUAUUAUUUACUCCUGUAACUCUUAGGAGAAUCAGUUAUUUCCUGCAGCAAUAUAUGUCUAUAAUUUGGUUUUGGCAUUAAUAUUCCUUUCCUUUGUUGGACCAGGGAGGACCAACUCCAGCCUUGAUUAAGGCUGAGGUGCCAUGGUCAGUCAGAAGGGGUAAUCUUUCUGAGAAGGAGCGUGUCCUAAAAACUGUAAAAGGGUAAAUAUAUUGAAAAUAUGUUUCUUGCAUCUUACAUUGAAUCAUACACAUUCUAUUGAUUUUAUUGAUAAACCAUUAAUUUAAAUGGCUGGUCACAUGGGAAGAUAUUUUUUCUUUCAUAGCCAAAUUUAUCUUCUAUUGUGCAUGCAGUUAUUGUUCACAGUUUUUUAAAAUCUUGUAAAGUGGUUUUGAUAUCAUUUUAUGAUAUUGAUAGUUAAUUACUGUUUCUUGUAAAUGGUUUUGUUUUAUGUGCAGUAUAUUGAACAAGUUGACUCCUGAGAAGUAUGAUCUUUUGAAGGGCCAACUUAUUGAUUCAGGCAUCACAUCAGCUGACAUCUUGAAGGUUAUUAUUUUUGCUUUCUUGUUAUUUUUUUUACUUCACUGCACAAUGUUUUGUGCAUUCGCACUUGUUUGUACAUUCUAUUUGUAUGAAUGUAUAUAUAUGCAUACCAGCUUCAUACGUUUCACUUAAUAUUUGUGUUCUUCUAGUUACUGUAUUUGCAAGUGACAUUAGUAGUGACAUCACUGAUGGUAUCUCUAUUAUCUUUACAGGGUGUUAUUUCUUUAAUUUUUGAGAAGGCUGUUUUGGAACCCACAUUUUGCCCUAUGUAUGCUCUUUUAUGCUUUGAUCUUAAUGAUAAGCUCCCCUCAUUCCCAUCCGAUGAACCUGGUGGAAAAGAAGUUACUUUUAAGCGAGUCCUGCUGAAUACCUGCCAGGAGGCAUUUGAGGGAGCUGAUAAGCUCAGGGAAGAAGUGAGGUUGAUGACAUCUCCCGAGCAAGAGAUGGAGCGCAGGGAUAAAGAAAGGAUGGUCAAGCUCCGGACUCUUGGUAACAUUCGUUUAAUUGGUGAGCUUCUGAAGCAGAAAAUGGUACCUGAGAAGAUAGUCCAUCACAUUGUGCAGGUUAUUGCCAAUACUACGUUUCUCAUCAAUCGAACUUGAAUAAUUGGUAAUUUACUAAAAUAAGCUUUUUGCCUAUUCUGCUGGACAGGAACUUUUGGGUCAAGAUUCUAAAGCUUGCCCUGCCGAGGAGAAUGUUGAAGCCAUUUGUCAGUUCUUCAAUAUUAUUGGUAAGCAGCUUGAUGAGAGCCCAAAAUCACGGCGCAUAAAUGAUGUGUACUUCAACAGACUGAAGGAAUUGACUACAAAUCCUCAGCUUGCACCGAGACUAAGAUUUAUGGUUCGAGAUGUUCUUGAUCUGCGUGCAAACAACUGGGUUCCAAGGCGUGAGGAGGUAACUCAUAAAUGCCAUCAAAUUUUUUGUUAAGAUUAGAUACAAUGUUGAGACGUCCAUUUUAAUGGGUUUUGAUGUCCCUUUUUUGCAUUGAUUUUUGUAGGUGAAAGCCAAAACAAUUACAGAAAUCCAUUCAGAGGCUGAAAAGAAUCUUGGGCUGCGUCCAGGCGCUACUGCAAGUAUUAGAAAUAGUCGUGUUGUUUCUGUUGGUCCAAUGAGUCCUGGUCCUGGUGGUUUUCCUAUCAAUCGUCCUGGUACUGGGGGUAUGAUGCCUGGAAUGCCAGGAACUAGGAGGAUGCCUGGAAUGGAUAAUGAUAAUUGGGAGGUUCCUAGAAGCCGGCCAAUGCCAAGGGGUGAUGGACUGGGUACCCAGUCUGGAGGGCGUGGUGCCUCACCAGUAGUCAAUAAGUCAACUUCAAUGAAUCAAAGGCUAUUACCUCAAGGUAGUGGUGGCCUAAUGAGUGGUAGGACAAGUGCCCUGUUGCAGGGUAGUUCAACCCCUCCUGCUAAGCCACCCAACUCAAUUUUAGGUGCUGAGUCUGUUGCACAACCUUCUCUUUCCCCUAAACCUGCUCCGGUGGAGAAACCACUAACUCAGGCUGCAAGGCUGAAUACAGAUGAUCUUCAGAGAAAAACACGGGCAUUGUUAGAGGAAUAUUUCAGCGUUAGGCUACUAGAUGAAGCAUUACAGUGCGUGGAGGAACUAAAAUCUCCAGCAUACCACCCUGAGGUUGUUAAAGAAGCGAUCUCCAUUGCUUUGGAGAAAAGCCCACCUUGUGUUGAACCCGUUUCAAAGCUUCUGGAGUACUUGUUUAUUAAGGAAGUUCUCACAGCUAGAGACAUUGGUACUGGAUGCCUACUUUAUGGUGCCUUGUUGGAUGAUAUCGGCAUUGACUUGCCGAAAGCACCAAAUAAUUUCGGAGAAAUAAUUGGAAAACUUGUUCUGGCUGGGGGAUUAGAUUUCAAGGUGGUGAAGGAAAUCCUUAAGAAGAUGGAAGAUGACAUGUAUCAGAAAGCUGUAUUCGAUGCAACAAUGAGGAUCAUUAGCUCAGAUCCUUCGGGGAAAGCUCUCUUGGAUGCUCAGGCGAUCAACAUUGAUGCAUGUACGAGUCUAUUCUAAAUUUUGCAAUCUACUUCACGUUACUAUAUCUGUCCGACCAUCCCAUCCAUCCAUCCAUCCAUCCGUAGCUUUUUAUCACCACUUCAAGAUAAUGUCCCCUGCCGGUUUUACCUGUCUUCGAGGCGAGCAGCUUGUAGUAUUUUUGAUUGAUGAAGUUAGAGCUACCUGCAAAGGACAGGUGAAAUUUUAUUGAGUUGUAUGUUUUUCUCCGGGUUGAUAGAGGUGUUUUAUUGAGAAAAAAGAAAUCCAAACAUAAAUGUCAUGUACAUUACCUUUUAGGAAAAGUGCAUGCCAAAAUUCUCGGGGAAAAUUGGUCUCCCUUCAUUUAAGGGAUCCAGUUGUUUUUUUGACACAGUUAUUUAUUUAGUUUAUUGAACUUGGUCAAGUUUUGUUCCGUCUUUAAUUGAACCCAACAUAAUUUAAAUUUCAUUUCAUAUAUUUAUCUCUAUAUAAGCAUGAAUGUUUGGAGCUGCAUUUGUCACAAUGCUUGCAUUUUAUGUUAUGUACAUAUUUGGUGUGCCAGACUGCCAGCUAAAGUGAAUUUCUUUUUUCUAUGAAAUUGUGGUUUGGUUGGUGAUUGUAUCAUGAUUUUUCAAAGACCAGCACGAAUUAUUGAGUUUUACUGAUUGGAAAUUGAUUAUUUGUUUUUGUUAAUUUUGAGCUAAUAUUAUACAAUGAAACAGUUUUAAAUGGUAACUCCCUUGCACUGGAAUUAUUUUUUUUUUUAUAAUAUAUGAAGAUAAAUGUGAAACUAGGUUUAAUUUCAAUGAAAUUAAAUAAUUGUUUAAAUCGUUUAUUUAGCCUCUAAACCUAACAAAUUUAAACUAAAUAUGGUCACAUGAAAUUGAUGAUUCUUGUAAAAUUGGUAUUGAUGAUUCUUCCUACUUUGGAAGGUUUAGGUUAAAAUAAUUUAUUUAGAUAAAUUAAAUUAAUUAAAAUAAAAGGUUGGCUUGAGCUUAUUAGUCUUAUAUAUUAUAUGAUUUGUAGCAUAUAUAAAUUAAAAAUAAUACAACUUUUUGUAGAAGAAACGUGGAACAGCUUCAAAUGAUUUUAGUUUUUUUCUUUUUCGUAUUUCAUGUUUGUUUUAUAAUUCAUAUUUGGAAUUAGUAAUCGUUCCUUUCAGCAAAAUUGAUUUCAAAGUUUGAAUUUACGUUUUCUUUUUGAGAGUAUAAUACAUCUUACCAUUACAUUUAAUACUUGUUGGAAGAUUAAUAUUUAUAAGUAUGAAUGUAUUAAUAUCAUAUAUAAAUUUGAGUCGAAUAUGACAAAACUUGAUCAUGAACACUUCUUAUUGUAGGGGUGGCAAUGGAGCGAGAUAGGAGUUGAUGUAGUUAGAGACAGAUCUAGGAGGCUGGGAGGAGCCUUAACCCCUUAAAAUGAAAAAUUUUCUAUUUGAGUAUUUUAUAAUUUAUAAAAUUUUAAAUUAGUAAUGAUAAAAUUAUAUUUUGACUCCCAAAAAGAUAAAACUUUGAUUUAGACCUCUAAAAAUUAUAAAGAUAUAAACUAUUAAAAUAACAAAAUUAAAUUUUUACUAUUAUAAAAAUGUAUAAUUAAUUCCGGCCCAUCCCAAAAUUUUUGGACUUCACCUGCCCCUAAGUCAUAUUUCUAGAUCCGCCACUGAAUGUAGUUAAAUUUACCACUACUCCAUAGUUGGUGUGCUUUGAUCCACCGACUACACCGCUCCGUUAUAAAUAUAUAUUCUUAAAAAUUAUUAUUACUUUCAAAGUGUUGAUAUAUCCAUUUCUACCCCACUUCUGCUUUAACUUUCUUUUUAAUGGAAAGGCUCCGUUUAAAUUUAAUUUAUGUUAUUUUAAUAUUUUCAAUAUUUUUUAAUAAAAUAUUUAAACAUAAUUCUUCAAAUAAUUUAAACAUAAAACAUAUAAAUUUUGUGAACAUAUUAUUACAAGUUUACCCUUUUUAAUAUAUAUAAUUAAAAAGAAACCUCAUUUCUAGUUUCCCUUGUCUACAUGCAUCUCUCAUGAAUCACGCGAGUAUUGAUUGUGUCAGCGCCGUGUCCGAUUCGUGUUUGAUUUCUUUCGUUCCGUUUCCCGGCGUUUCAGACACCGGUACGAGGGUUUCCAGCAUUAGUGCUUUAAAGAUUGGAGAAUGAGUUCGAGAAAAGGAGGAUCAAAAGGGAAAGAGGUAUCUGGAGUCUCUCGUCCCAAGGUUGACCAGCUAAGCCAUGGUGUAGCGGAAAUGAACAUGGAUUCUUCACAAGAUGAUGGUGAGUGGGAAGUUAUUCAAAGAAAACCCAAGAAUACAGGUGGAAGCAGUGGUGCAAAGCCAUGGGGGUCUCAAAAUUCCAACCCUAAACCUUGGAAUGGAGGCAUGCGGGGUAAUGCUGGACCUGGAAGAGGCACCGGCGGCAAUGCUUGGGCUAAUCAUGGUGCUGAUUCUAGGAUAGCAAGUGGCCGAGGGAAUUCAAGGCCCCAAAUAGUCAACAAGAGCUUGGACAACCACCAAGUGCCUUCCAAUCCUGUCAUUCGCCCGCCUCUUGAGCAUGGUUGGAAUUGGCAAUCAAGAACUGGUUCCAAUCCAUCCAAGGGUUUUCAAGAUGGAUAUGAGAAAGACAAUGUCAACGCUGAGGCUGAAAAAGACAACGAUGUUGAUGAUAUUGAGGAUGAUUCGGAUGAUGUUGCUGCUGAUGAUUCUGACAAUGAGCUUCUAACCGAUGAAUUUGAUUCAGAUUCAAGUCAAAAGAGCCACGAGACAAGAAAGAAAAAUAGAUGGUUUAAGAAGUUUUUUGAUAGUUUAGAUAAGUUGCGCGUGGAAGAGAUCAAUGACCCAGCAAGGCAAUGGCAUUGCCCGGCUUGCCAAGGCGGUCCUGGUGCCAUUGACUGGUAUCGAGGCCUUCAGCCAUUAGGGACACAUGCGAAAACUAAAGGAUCAAAAAGGGUGAAACUCCAUCGUGAACUUGCUGAGCUCUUGGAUGAGGAAUUGCGUAGAAGGGGUACUUCAGUUAUCCCUGCAGGUGAAGCUUUUGGGAAAUGGAGGGGUUUAAAAGAUGACGAAAAAGAUCAUGAAAUAGUCUGGCCACCUAUGGUAAUCAUAAUGAAUACAAGGCUUCAACAAGAUGAUAAUGAUAAGGUACCCCGAGAACUUGUACUAUUUCUGUUUUCCAGUUAUAAUUCAAUGGAAUUUAAUUAAAUCUUUGUAAUUACCGAGGAGCUAUUUAUGGCGUUGUGUACUUCAGUGGAUUGGUAUGGGAAACCAAGAGCUGCUUGACUAUUUCAGCUCAUAUGCUGCCGUGAAGGCUCGCCAUUCAUAUGGCCCACAGGGGCAUCGUGGGAUGAGCCUUCUGAUUUUUGAGAGCACAGCAAGAGGUUAUUUAGAAGCUGAGCGUCUGCAUAAGCAUUUUGCUGAGCAAGGAACGGAUAGAGAGGCUUGGGAACACCGUCAGGUCUUAUUUUAUCCAGGUGGGACGCGCCAACUCUAUGGUUACAUGGCAAACAAGGAAGAUCUGGACAUCUUCAACCAACAUUCUCAAGGUUCUCUCCUACUGAAGACAAUGGUUAUUUGCAUGCAGGGAUAAACUGCGAGAUAACUUUAUUGCACGAAAAGUUUCUUUAUUAUUUUCUGCCGAUUCUUAUGCAUUUAAUUCACUUGUGUGUAAAUGUUAUGUUGAUUAGGAAAAUCUAAGCUCAAAUUUGAGAUGAGAUCUUAUCAAGAGAUGGUUGUUAAUCAAAUCAGGCAAAUGAGCGAGGCCAACCAGGAGCUUAUUUUUUACAAGAACAAGUUUGCUAUACAGCAAAGGCUCAAAACUGCCCUUGAAGAGUCUUUUGGUGUUGUGAGCGAAAAGCUCCGGAAGACAAUGGAGGAGAACAGGAUUGUGAGACAGAGAACCAAAAUGCAGCACGAACAGAACAAGGAAGAGGUAAUUGUUUUAGUUUCUGAUAAUUUACAUCUAAAUGCAGAUGCAAGCUAGUGGCUUUCUUCACAGAUUUGUUGCUAGAUGUAAUGGUUGUGGCGUACUAAUUACUAAUUUAUACCAUAGAACAUAACUUCAUUUUAGUAAGUUACUGGUUGAUCAUAUCUUUGCAACCAUAUUUAUCUUAACUAGCCAGGGAUGAAUAUGAAAACUUUGCUAGUAUCUUUAUAUGUUUGCUAUGCUUAUACAUCUGUGAUCUUAUUUUUGGAUAUAAAAAUUUGGUGGAGAUGAAUAUGAAAAUUUUGCAUCUCCAAGGAAAAUUCCAGGUAGCAUUUCAUUUUUAUUUAGUAGGACCAAGCAGUUUAGUGUGGCCUUAGAACUUUGAGAUGCUUUAACUCGAAAAAACGUCCAUGUCCAAACCGUCUCUUUCAGAGCAUGUUAGUGUCUUCCCUUGAACUUUUCCAUGUACUUGAUAAAUUACAUUCUAUUUGCUAUUCUCUAGUUUCUGUUUGAUGUUAACUGUUUUGUAUAUUGCUCUUCGCAGAUGGAUUUCCAAGAACAAUUCUUCAAGGAACAAAUCAAAUUUAUUCAUGAAGCAAGGGAUGAGGAGGAGGAGAAGUUUGAGAAGCUACAGCAGCAACAGCGUGAGAAGUUUGUCAAGCAAUCUACUCCUAAUACUUCGAAUACAGAGGAAUACAGGCGUAGGUAUGUAAUUUUGAUGCUAAUGUGAAUUUCCAUGUGUAAUCGGAUCGAAACAUGCUAAAAUGCUGCUACACCUUCCUUUUAUUUGUUUAUUAAUUUGUCUACUUCAAUCAUGAGAUAACCCAUUUUUCUUUCUUGUUUCAUUUGUAGGGCGGAUGAAAUUGCAAAAUUCAUAAAGCUCCAGGACGAAGAGAUGGAAGCUUUUGUGUCUGAGAGGGACGAGCUGAUUACCGUACACAAAGAGAAGAUGGCUGCAAUGAGACAGAGGCAUUGGCAGGAAGAAGUUGAGCUCGAAAAGGAGUUUGAUACGGAAUUGAGCCGUCUCAUGGAGAAGUAUACUCCUACUAUGCCUGGAAUGGACAAAUAUAUAUAUUAAAAUUGUUUUCUACAUAGAUUAAAUUUGACUAAAAUAUGGGCGAGACUUCUGAGUUCGAUUCUAGCAUAUAAAACUUAAUAUUAUAAUAAUAUAAUACUAAAAUAUAAACAUUAAAAAUAUCCGUUGUCUAUUUAGAAUUUUAAUAAAAACAUAUUAAAUAAUUACAUAUUAAAUUAAAAAUAGUAUAAGUCUUUUGUAAAAAAAUAUGUGGACGAGCUUCGAAUGAUUUUAGAUUAGUCUUUUUUAUUAUAUAUAUUGGUAGUUGUUCCUCUUAACAAUAUUGAUUUCAAGAUUUAAAUUUACGUUUUUUCUUUGACAGUACCAUGCGUCUUACCAUUACAUUAAUAUUUGUUGGGAGAUUAGUGUUUAUAUAUAUGAAGUGUACCAUACCAUAUAUAAAAUUAAGUUGAAUUUAACCGAACUUGAUUAUGAACACUUUUGGUUGUAGAGAUGGCAAUGGAAUGUGAUAUGAGUAGAGGUGAUCAUGGGUUAGCUGGGCUAGGCCUAGAUAAAAAUUUAGGCCCGUUUUCUAAGUCUGGACUCGGCCUGGCCUAAAAUAUGGGCCUAAAAAUUUGUCUAAGCCUGGCCCAAAAGAAAAUUGCUAAGCUCGAGCUCAGCCCAGCCCAUAUUUGAUUAAAAAUAUAUAUUUAAUAUAUAAUUCGAAUUAAAAGUCUAAAAUAUAUAUAUUUGAUUAAAAAUUAAAAUAUAUAUUUAAUAUAUAAUUCGGGCCGAGUUCGGGCCAAAAAGGUCUUAUUCAAGCUCAUAUUUUAGGCCUAUAUUUUUACCCGAAUCUUCCUAUUUUUUAGGCGGGCCAAGCCGGGUAGCCCAACUCAUGAUCACCUCCAAAUAUGAGUUGAUGUAGCUAAAUCUAUCACUGCUCCAUAAUUGGUUGCUUUGUUCAAUCAAAUGCACCGUUUCACUAUAAAUAUUUGAUUUUAAAAAUUAUUAUCACGUUUUGCAUGUUGGAUGUAUCCAUAUCCAUCUUACUUCGUUUAAAUUUAAUUUUUGUUUCUUUAAAAUUUUUAAUCUUUUUGAUGAAAAAUAAAAUAUUUAAAUAUAAUUUAUUAAAAAAAAUUAAAUUUAAAACAAAUAAAUAUUUUUGUACCAUAUUAUUUACAAUUUUAAUAUAUAUAAAGAUAAAAAAAUCGUUUCAUAUAAUAGAAUAGGGUGAAGCAAGAUAAAUAAUUAUCAUAAUUAUUUUAUAUCAAUUAUAAAAAAAAAUUCUACCAUACCCUGUACACAUUCUUUUUUAAAAGAAAAAAAUUCACUUUAGAGCGGGUGAAUUCAAAAUUCAUUUACUAUCUUUAUUUAAUUAUUAUGUAUAUAAUUGAAGUAAGUACAUUAGGUUAAUUAUAAACAUGGUAAAAAAAUAUCCUACCGAAAAGAAAAUAAAUGGCAAAAAUGAUAUAAGCGUGAUUCAAGGAUGUGUUGUUCGCCUUGUUUUGUAGACUGAAUCCAAUGGCACUGCAUGCAGCACUAUAAUUAUAAUAACAAAAUAAAAAGUAGCACUAAAAUAUUGGUGCUAAUAUCACUGCAAAAAAAAAUAUAAGGUGCAAAACCAGUCAUGGAGAUGGAGCCAAAGAAAGUUAUAAAAACUAUAAUAAUAAAAUAACGCAAUUCCCAUUACGCAGUUUCCCGUAAAAAUCAAUAUUCAAAACACAGCAAAUUACUGAAAUCUCCAUAGCUACAGAAGAGAAAGAGAGUAGAGCCCAGCUUCAAAAUCACUCCAUUUGUAUGAUAGGAAUUUUUUAAGUACAACAAAAGCAAACCCUACUAAUUAUAUUCCUUUUUUGUGUUUUGAUUUUCUAAUUUAAGGGAAAAGAAAAAGAAGGAAACCCGUGCUUGUGAGAAUCAGAUUCAUUGACCUACCCUCCUUGUUUUCUCUCCUUCUCUUUUUCCCCCUCUCUUUUCCAUUUUAAGGGUUCUAUUAUUAUUAUUAUUAUUAUUAUUAUUAUUUGCAUUUGUUUCUCGUUUCUAUCGCUUCUUCUCUUUGGGUUCUACGAAAAAUUUGAUUUUCUGAAAAAAAGUUGGAAUUUUUAUGUGCCUGUUUGCUAAAAGUCGAACCUUUACUUCACAGUUAUUUUAUCUUAGAACAAUGAGAAAACGUAUUCAAUAACCCUGGAAAGGAAGACUAUUAUUUUCAAAUAAUAAUUCUCUUAUUAUUUUUUUCUUUUUUUUAUCCCAAUAACGAGCAAUAAAGGAAUGGCGUUGUUUGGUGAUAAGAGAGAUAUGUUUUUCUCUAUAUGUGAUUUGGGUUCUCAAUGGAGUCUCGAGCCAAAUACUUCUUAUCCAGGUGGCUUAUUUGCUAGCGUUGGUCAAAUGGGAAUGGGAUUUGGCGUUUCACCUAACUCCCCAAAUCCGCGUACCGACGGAACCAAACCACCAUUUUCCGAUUUGUUUGUCAAGUAUUUACCGUUUCGGGUUAUAGAAUUACCGGAAGGUGAAGCGGCGUCGACUAAGAAGAAAAAGAAACUAGAGUUGAAACUGAAAAUCAAGAUUCCUAAUCCUUCAUUAAGGAGGUUAAUAAGCGGUGGCAUAGCUGGGGCGAUUUCAAGGACUUGUGUUGCGCCAUUGGAAACAAUAAGGACCCAUUUGAUGGUUGGGAGUAGUGGGAAUUCCACAACUGAGGUGUUUCAUAAUAUAUUGCAGAAUGAUGGGUGGAAAGGGUUGUUUAGGGGUAACCUUAUUAAUGUGAUUCGAGUUGCACCUAGCAAGGCCAUAGAGGUAAAAACUCCCUUGAAUUACAAAUGGUAUUUUUAUGAAUAUUAUCCAGUUUGUUUAUCGUUUUUGUGGUAUUGAAUAUUGCAAUGUUGGUUAAUCACUUUGCUUGGUUUUUGAGCUUUGUGAUGUUGUAUAUGCAGUAUAAAGUAUUUUGGUUCGAUAGGUAUUCUUGAAUGUGAAUGAUUCGGAUUUAACUAAAUGCGAGCCUUUCUCAUGUCUGUUAAUGUGUCUAACUGCAUUUCUUGUUUUUAUCUACUGUGGUUGUAAACUGAGUGCUGCGGUCGCUACUUUCAUAUGUAUAUUUGUUGUAUUGGUUUAUAAUUUCAUUUUAACUGUUAGGCUAUCUGUUCAAGCAAAAGGGUAGAUUGUCACCUUAACUAGAUUAAAGUGGCUGUUUUCUGAUUGGUUGGAUAAUGAAACAAAGCUUAAUUUACAUUGGAAAAUUGUGGCAACCUCUGGAAGUAACUUUGAUGUUUCAUUUUCACUGCUCUGUUUUUUGGACAUGUCAUCAAUAUGGAUGUUAAGGCAGCAUAACAGAAAAGAAGAAUAAGAACUCUCAUCAUAAUGACAAUUUUAUGUAUAUACUGUUGCACCCUUCUGCUCCAUUCAAAGCCAAAUAAUUCUCACUGAAUGAUGUUUCCAUGUCUUAGUGAUGUUAUCUUCUUGAUCUUCUCAUUCUUGUCCUCGCAAGAUUGAGUAUAUAUUAGAUGUUUUGAUAAACAUCUACUUGCUGUCAAGUGUCAACUGUUUCUAUCUUGUUAAAUAUCACCAACUGAAUGUGUAAUUGACUAAGGAUAGUCUUCUUUUAUGGUUCUUAUCAUCCUAAACAUGAACAAACUAUACAAGGAGAUGUGUGGAACCCAGGGAAGAAGACAAAGAGGAGCUGGCAGUGGCCUUGCCUCCCCCCAACAAAAAAAUUAGAUUUGUCAUUUGGUCCCUUAAAUUUUAUGAAAUUACAUAUUAGUAUAAUGGUAAAAUUGCACAUUGUCCCCUCCUAGCAUAUUAGUAUAAUGGUAAAAUUACAUAUUAGUAUAAUGGUUUUGCCCCUGGCAGAACCAUUGAAGAUGUAAUAUUUAUCAUUUAGGUUAAUAGUGUUGAGCUGUUGGCAUCAAUCUUCCAUGGUUCAAUACUCCUAACAUGAUUCAUAACUAGGUUGUAAACAAGCCUUUAUAUGCCCUUCUUCUGAAAUAUUCUUUCUGGUUCUUAUCUUCUCAAUGAUCGAAAUUUUAAACAUAUGAAAGAAGUGGAGAAUACAAUUACGGGCAUCGUUCUUCAUUUAUCACUUGUUAGUGAACAUUGCCAUCAUGAGUUUUAUGCCUCUUUUGUAGAUCACUUCUGCUACUUUGUCCUUGUUGGUUAUGCUUUACAGUUUAAUUCCUUGACUUAGUUUUAUAGUAGAACCCACGAAUGUUUUAAGCAAGCUUUUCUAAGAGUUAAUCUAUGCUUGCAAUUUUCUUCUUAUUACUAGCCACAGGGGUGUUUUCUUGUUGGCUUUUUGCAAUAAUAGUUUUGCAAGCUUUGUCCUUGUAUGCAUCACAUGAACUGAUGUCAUACAGAACUAACGGAAGGCCUCAGACAAUGAACAUGAUUUGGCUAUUGCUAAUGAUUUUUUCUGCAGCAAAAUGAUAGCAAAACAGCUUAGCUGCAUCUUUCUGCAUAUUAUGCUUCUAUGCUGUAUUCAUCUUGAAACAUAGUUGUCUUUUUUAGUCAAAUGAGAGUUGCAAUUAUUCCUGACAUAUUCAUAUAUUAAUUUCCCAUGUACUGCAGCUAUUUGCUUUCGAUACCGUGAAUAAGACUUUGUCACUCAAACCAGGGGAAGUAUCAAAGAUUCCGAUUCCUCCCUCGUUGGUUGCAGGGGCUUGUGCUGGAGUCAGCUCAACUUUGGUGACCUAUCCUCUCGAGUUAGUUAAGACUCGACUAACUAUUGAGGUAAACACAGUCUAAAAUUUGCAAUUCACAGUUUAGAAGUUUUUGUUUUCACUUAAAUCUGGGACCUGUGUUUACUUGCAGAAGAAUAUGUAUGAUGGUAUACUCGAUGCUUUCUUGAAAAUACUGCAAAGGGAGGGCCCUGCUGAACUUUAUAGAGGUCUUGCUCCUAGUCUCAUUGGAGUUAUUCCGUAUGCUGCCACUAAUUAUUUUGCAUAUGAUACUCUACGGAAGGUUUACCGCAAAAUUUUUAAAGAGGAAAAAAUUGGGAACAUUGAAACUCUUUUAAUCGGAUCAUUAGCUGGUGCUAUUUCAAGUAGUGCAACGUUCCCGCUCGAGGUGGCACGUAAGCACAUGCAGGUUGGAGCUCUGCAUGGAAGACAGGUCUACAAGAAUGUGAUACAUGCACUUUCAAGCAUUCUUGAACAAGAAGGGAUUCAAGGUCUAUAUAAAGGUUUGGGUCCUAGUUGCAUGAAGUUAGUACCUGCUGCUGGGAUAUCUUUCAUGUGCUAUGAAGCAUGCAAGAGGAUACUGGUUGACGAAGAUGAAGAUGAAGCAUAGAGUCUCUGGUUAAAAGGAAUAAAGAACUCAUCUUUUUGGGAUUGAAGAAUGAGAUGGCAUACAUUUUAGGUUCAUCUUUUUAUUUUUUAUUUUUAAACAAUUUUCUCCUGUUAAAUUAUUUAUUUUUUUGUUGAGGGAUCAGUUUCAGCUAGCGGCAUUUGCAAGGUAAGAAAUGACGAUGAAAGUAAAAUUAGUUGGCAUACUGUUUUCUUUGAAGAAUGGAGAAGAUUUGUUGAGCAAUGUUUUGUUUUGGUAAAUUCUUUAAGUGGGAUUUUACUCUUUUUGAUCCUUUUUCUUUUUGUGCAAGUCAUUUGACAUGUUAUCGAGUGUAUAAAAAGUGUUAUUCUUUUAACUUGUGUUAUUCUUUUAACUUUUUACCGUAUUUAGAAGUAUCUUGAAAGAAAUGGAAAAACCAAAAACUUAACCCAGUUCAUAUAGGGCAUAGAAGAAAGGAAUUAGCAACAAAUUCGAAUAAUAUUGAAUAACAAAGAACCAUAGUAUUUUACAAAACUUCCUAAAAUCUCAUCAUCACAAUGACUAAGCUUCACUCACAAGCAAGCAAGAAAAUAGCUAUUAAAAGAUACUCACAAUCAAGUAACACAGCUAAAACUGAGGAAACAUCUUAUUCUUAACUUAUAGCUUUACUCAUCAUCUAAGGCUUCCUCAGUAGCAGCUGCCAUCAACUCAUCAAACUUCUCUGACUUCCCCAGUAGUAUUUCAAUCUACAAUAUAAGAAAUUGCUUGCUUUCAGCCUCUUAUAUUAAGAUAAGUUCAACCAUUUCAUGAGAAUUAAUAUAAGAGAUCUAAAUGAUUAAAAAUGGAUGAAAGUAAUACAGAUGACUUUUACUAUAUAUUAACACCAUUCAAAGCUGUGGGGAAAAAAAUGACAAAAUAAUGAAUUGAUGUUUCAUCCCAUUUUCUAACCUACCAAUUUACAGAAGUGUUAUGUAUUUAGUGUGAGCCAUGGGAUAAACUUAGAAGUAAAUUAUUAUAUAUGUAUUUGCAACUUACUUUUGCUUUUUGUACUGGUCGUCCCCCUGAUUCUUCUCUCAUGUCAAUGGUAGAAGUCAUGAUUUCUGCCAUAUAAUGCAAACAUAUAUAAUAUAUCAUGAUACUAGUUUUGAGUUCUCAACAUGAGAUGAAAGCUAAAAGUAAUCUUGUUAAGGUAAGAAUCUUACUUUUCUCGACAGCCAGCCCGUUGUUCUUCAAUAUCUCAGCAAUGGUAACAACAGUAGCAAUAGCUGUCAGCAGCAUUUAAACCACGUUGUAAAGAAAGACAAGAAAAAGCAAAGAAUCGGUACAUGUUUUUCCCAACAUUCUAAACUAAGAGUACUAAUCUGGCAUUGCAACAGUAGCAUAAAUUACAUGCCAUAAAUGACGUACACAUAGCAUGUAUGUAUGUAUGUCAAAGUAAUGUGUUGUAUUUCAACCUAUGUUCUAUAAAACAAAACGUUCACUUUGUUCCUUGUAAGGAAGCUAUCAAUGUAAAUGACAUAUUCAAAUCCCUCAAAAUCUAAACAGAAAACAAGGUGAAAUAGAAAGGAAGUGUGAAGAAAAGCAAAAAAAGAAUACCCAUUCCAAGAGCAGAAAGUUCCACCUCGUUGUAUUGCUGCAUAUACCUCUGCCAAAAAGGAGCAAAAUAAUCGUUUAAGCAACCAAUAAGAAUCUGUUUUGUUCAUUUUCUUUUUUGUUCUUAUAAUUCCCAUUUGGUUAAAUCAUGAUCAUAAACAUCCAGCAAAUCAAACAGAAAGCCGCAAAAAGUCCGAAUAGGAAAUCAAAUGAAAACCCUAACAUAUAAUAUUAAAGCUACUAUUAUUCAUUAACGACUAAAAACAGAAGACUGCUACAACUUUCAGAGCACGUCAAAAUGAUCACUGAGAGAAAAAUUGAGAAACGAUAAAAAAAAGGUGAAGGAACCUUGGCGAGGUUAACGUAGAAGAAAAGGGGUUUCUGGGUAUUGGAGACUUGGAUACGGUUCUUCUUGUUGUUGGAGGCAGAUGAAUCCACUCCCUCAGUAGUCCCCACCAUUUUUGUUGUUCAGAAAGAGAACAAAAACCCUAAACUGUUGAUCACCACGAAACACAAGGGGAGGGGGGAGAUUUGAUCUUUCAGGGCUCCAAAACCCUUGAAUUCAACCCCAUCUCACCACUACCCCUCCUCUUUUAUCGGGGUUUUCCAUGGUUUUCGAUAGAAUCGAUGAUUUGGUUUGGUUUCAAACAAUAUGAUACGUAUCAGUAUCAUAUUACGUUUAUUUUAUUUUAUCAUCUUUUUUUAAUUAAAUUGGUUUUACUUUACAAGUAACAUUAAAUAAUAGAAUUUUAUAUUGUAUUAUAUUAUUUAUAUUUACAUAUAAAUUUGCAUUAUUGUCUAUAUUUAUAUUUGAACCAAAUAUAUAUAUAUAUAUAAAAUUUUAACUGAGUUUUGUAUCCUGAUUGAGUUUUAUAUCAACUCAAUUAGUAAAAUACUUAAAAAGAAAAAUAAAAAAUUCAAAAAUUAUUUUUUAUACAAUUUUUAUAAUUUUUAUAUAAUAUUUUUUAUAAAUAAAUUAAAUCACCUCUUAAAAGAAUCAACCCUGCAAAAAAAAAGCCUGUUUUUGUUAUCAAUGUUAAAAAUAAAUCUAUUUUCAUAUUUCUUUUUACUAAAGUGUGGCUAUAAAUUAUUAUCUGAUAACUUAAAAAAUACUUGACUGAGUUGAUAGCUUAAUUUACACCAGAAAACCUCACAAACAAAAUGUUAUGAUUAAACAUUUACAUUCUUGUUUAAAAAGAAAAGAAAAAACCGAAUUAUUACUGUGUUAUCACUUCAAACACAAUUAUGACAUUAAAAUAUAUCACAUACAAUAUAAAUACGCAUAUCUUUAUUAGUAAUCCACCGGCAGAAAGGUUUUCAGACAAUCCAAGGCAAAUUAGGUUGGCACAUUAUCUUCUUUAAAAUGUGCAUUCAAUGAUCAAACAUAAAAGCAGAAUCAGAGACUAGAUUUCACAACAUCAUUAAGAAAUAUCUUUGGAAAUUGGAACCCAAACUUAAUGAUGAUAGUCUUUAUUCCAGUCUCAUAUGAAUGAUCAACUAAAACAAAAAUAAAAUAUGGACUCAAAAAAGAACAGUAACAAGUCCCUUUCAUGACAUUGGAUGAAUAAAUAUCUCUACAUAAUAAUGAAAAAAAUAUACUUAUAAAAUUACACAACACCAACAUCAAACUUCAUCAGCAAUACCAUGUAGAAGAAUAGAAGUGAACAAAAAGAUAAUAGGGUGGCUGGUCUUAGGUCCCCAUAAACUUAUAUCAUGCACAUGUAACGCUGCAACGUCUCUUUUUCCUUUGGUUAUAUACACAAUAUCCAACUUGAAGGAGAGAGGGUUUACUGGAAUAAAAUAAUCCGGAAACGAAACUAACAGUUGAUGCCACAUUGACCAUUAGCAGCAGCUUUUGUAGCUUCUGAGGUGAAGGGGUCGAUACGCACCCACAGCAAUGAGAAGAUGGAAGCCAGAAGUAUAGACCACACGAUGACAAUUGUUGGGGUACGAUUUUGACGACCCACCAAACCUUUCAAGAAAGGAUACAAAUGAGCAAUCACCCAGAUGGCAAAGAAAAGCUUGCCAAAAAGAGGACCCCAGGAUUGGUAACCACUGUUUAUAGCAUACGACACGCCGGCCACAAUGCCCACCAGGUUGAUAAUGAGUACUGUGGUUGGAGGAAUGAGAAGUGAUGUCCAUUUGAAAACAUAAAGUUCGGCAAAAUCGCCAUCAUCAUCAGACGCCUUUGAAGUGACAGUGAAGUUGGUAUCUAUUCCAGCAAGCACUUUCAGAAGACCCUGGAAAACAGCAAAGAG